AUGGGAACUUAUUUAAAGAUAACUAUGAAAGAUGUUGGGCUGAAGUGAAAAAAGACUUAGAAAUUUGGUCAAACUUGAAGCUUUCACUGUUGGGUCGUAUUGCUGCCGUAAAAAUGAAUGUAUUGCCUAGAAUGUUGUUUUUGUUUCAAACAUUGCAAAUUGUGGAUAAAAUGGACUGUUUCAAGAGGUGGCAGAGAGAUAUUUCUAGAUUUGUCUGGCAGGGCAAGAAGCCCAGAAUAAAAUUUAAAAUACUAACAGAUGCAAAGGAUAGAGGUGGAUUUGCCCUGCCAGACCUUAAACUUUACUAUGAAUCAGCAGCUUUCUGCUGGUUGAAAGAAUGGCUGCUUCUUGAAAACACUGACAUUUUGGAUUUAGAAGGUUUUAACAACGUAUUUGGAUGGCAUGCAUAUCUGUGGUAUGACAAGGUCAAAGCACAUAAAGCAUUUAAAAACCAUAUUGUCAGGAAAGCACUAUUUAAUGUUUGGAUAAGAUACAAGGAUUUACUGGAAAAUAAAACUCCAAGGUGGCUGUCACCAAUGGAAGCGAAGGCCUUGAAAAAGCUCAAUAUGGAGGUCAAAUGGCCAAAAUAUUGGGAAAUUUUGGAACAAGAUGGAGACAGAUUGAAAUUGCAGAGUUUUGAAAAACUAAAAAAUAAAGUGCGAGACUGGCUUCAUUAUUAUCAGAUAAUGGAGGCAUACAAUUUGGAUAAGAAAAGAAUCCGUGACCAGGGAGAAGAGUCGGUGGAAGAAGAUUGGAAGAAAUUUAAAGAUUAUUUACAGAAAUAUUGCAAAAUUAAUGAAUGUUAGAGUGAUGUUGGAUUGAAGUUAAGUGGCUUCUAGCUGUACAGGCUUUAAAGUUAUAAAUAUAUCAAGAUUAAGGAUUAGGAUUAAAAAGGUUAAAAGAAUGGAAAAAUUGGUUUUUAAUAGAUUAAAACUUAAUGUUAUAAUAUAUUAAGAUUAAGGAUUGGGAUUAAAAAAGAGGGAAAGAAAUUGCUGGAUUAACUAACUGAAUUGGAAUACAAAAGAGGGAGGUAUGAGGAGGUCCGGGAAACAAGUAAAUGUAAAAGAAGUCAUGAAAAGACGGAAUUUUUUUUUAACUGUUUUUUCUUUUUACUUUUUUUUUCUUUUUUCCUUUUGUAUUUUGUAUUGUGUAUUUUUCUUUUUAUUCUUAAAUUUUUCUUUUUUAUUAAUGUGAUUCUUUCUUUGUGAAACUAUAAUAAAUAUUAUUUUUUUAAAAAAAACAACAAUCUACAAUUCUAUGAUUUUAUGUGUCAGACCACUGGAUCUUCUAGCUCAUGGGUAGACGGGCAACAGCUCUCCAGGACAUAUUUGCCCAUCCCUAACAACAACAGACUCAUUCUCAGAGGAAUGUGUACAUGCACACAGGGUGGUGGUUUUGGGGGUGGGUUUUUUGUUGUUUUGUUGUUGUUGUUUUUUUUUGUUUUGCAUCAAUUCAUGUUCAAAGGUGCUAACAAGAAGAGUCCUGCUGGACUGGGUGGAGACCUGAAGAAUCCAGCAUCAUGUUUCCCAAACAUGAGAAAACUCCUGGUUCAGGUCUGAUUGGAAGAGUGCAGGCCUGUUGCAUCCUCCUGAUGCCCCACUGCUUUGUGAAGCUGGGAUGUGGGAUUGGACUCACAAAGCAGUGUGGGGCUGGCAGGGGCAGCAUGAGCAGCAAAAAUCGCCCUAGAAAAAACUGGGCCGGGGGCAACAGCCCCCUCACCCCAUGCAUGCUAUGUGUGCUGGUCCCGUGGGCUAACUGAGAGGCGAGGUCCGAGUCCAGUCCGAGGUUGAAGGUGCAGUAAGGAGGCAGUCCAAAGAAGCUGAAGCUGGAUGCAGGGCAGGUAGGCAGGUGAGGUCAGGAGCUCCGGCAGGAUAGCAGGACAGGGUUCAGGCAGGAACUGACAACCAACAAAGUUGCUCCCGCAACUUGGGACUGAGGCUGGCUGGCUUUUAUCUGCCCCGAGGCACAGGGCAGCCCUGAUCCUCAGGUGACUCGCCUCUCCUGGCCUGGAGGCGAGCACUCCUCCUGCGGGAACUUAGUUCCCUCCGCCUCUCUGCCCUGAGCCUCUGCAGCUCAGAAGAAGCUGGAGGGUUACCGGACCCAGAGGCAACCUCAGCUUCCCCUGAUGGGGCUGAGAGUGGAGCACCUGCAGGCAAUAGGUCCUCCACCCCCUCAGGAGCAAGAGCAGACUCAGCUGGUGCCUGCACCUGAGGAUCCAGCACAGGUGAGGACCCUUCAGGCUCAUGCCCCAGCCCCGGGUCUGCUGGUUCUGGAGGCGGAGAAUCCUGUGCAGGCUGGGAUUCCUUAGGUUCAGCAUCCGAGUCCGAAUCCCAGGCCAUCACACUAUGCCUCUGCUUGGUGCAACAGCACUGUCCUCAUUUGCAAUUGUCAGCAAGCAUUCAGAGCCACUUCCUCUGGCCAUGGAGAUAGAACAUCGCCAUCAAGGCCAAUGCAGACCCAGCCAACUGCAGCAGCAAAUCCAGACAAUCAGAGAUUCUCAGGGUGGCUUGAGAAUCAUAGAAUCACAGAGCUGGAAGGGGCCAAGAGGGUCAUGGUGUCAGGAACUUGGCCCCCCAGAGUGUAGCAGAAGAGUUGGACUCAGAAAUUGAGCUAAGUGAGCAAGGGGCCGACUGCAGCUGAGACCUGUUUGUCAGAGUUUAGAGAGGACAGCCUAAACUGAACAAUAUGCAAAUGAGUCAUUGGGGUAACGACACCUUGCACUCCACAGAGAUGCUGCAGCAUUGAAUCUGAGGGCUGUGGUAACAUGGGCCAGAAGAAACGCAUACUUUGUGGAGUUGUUGAGCAAAGAAUGGCUUGUCCUUGACCCACCUCUCUCUUUUUAUUGCUGGCAUUUAUACAUAGUUACAUUAUGUUUCCUCCGAGGCAAGCCGGGGAAAUCCAAUACAGUGGUGCCUCGCAAGACGAAAUUAAUCCGUUCCGCGAGUCUCUUCGUCUUGCGGUUUUUUCGUCUUGCAAAGCACGGCUAUUAGCGGCUUAGCGGCUAUUAGCGGCUUAGCGGCUAUUAACAGCUUAGUGGCUUUAAGAAAAAGGAAACAAACUCGCAAGAACUCGCAAGACGUUUCGUCUUGUGAAGCAAGCCCAUAGGGAAAUUCGUCUUGCGGAACAACUCAAAAAACGCAAAACCCUUUCGUCUAGCGAGUUUUUCAUCUGGCGAGGCAUUCGUCUUGCGGGGCACCACUGUAAACAAUAAACUCCUCAGAUUUUCCCAGUGACAGAAAUGCUUUUUAUCUCAGCUUCUGAAACACAAAAGAACCAGAAAUUUAUAGGUCCUGGGUGGGGUACCAUGGAUCCAACUAGACCAGUGACUCCCAAUUAGCUAAGUACUGCAGGAACACACACACCCCGCCCGCCGUUUUUUCAAAAUCCAAGCCAUGGACUCCCUACUCUUGAAAUUUUUGAUAUACGCAUCUAUGUUAAUUUUUGUUAUGUGAAUGAACUCCCUGAAUGGGGUCCAUGGACCAUCAGUUGGGAACCACUGAGCUAUACAUCCUUGGCUGUUGUUCAGCAGGCCUUUUUCCACCUGGCCUGGGAGGAUAGGGCCAGGACUGACUCCAGCUACAAAAGCUUAGGAUGCUGAAGAGAACCUUGGAUUGGGGUAUUGUUUAGCGGAGUUUGUUGCAGAAAGGGACUUGUUGCUGUUAUUGAUAUUAAUCUUUAUUUUAAAUCUUACUGUGAUUUAUGUGGAAAUUGUUCAAUUUGGUAGAGUAUUUUUGAUGUUUUAUUUAUUGCUUAUAACUAUUUUUGUAAUUCUGUAUUUUUUCAUGUUGUAGGCUGCCUUGGCCUUGAACUAUGGAGAGGCAGCCUACCAAAAAAAAGGUGUAUAAUAUAUGCAUGUAGACCAACCUGCUACACUGAAGCAUUAUUGGGUAUCCAAAACAACACUGGGUUUGGUCUGUUUGUAUUUUGAGAAAGGAAUGAUAGUCUGGGGGGGGGGUUAAAAUAUUAGGAUGGGGAAAGAAUGACUUGGGAUGGGAGGCAGCAGGAAAUGAGACUGUAGAGUUUGAUUCUACUCUGGUGCUAGAAGAUAUGCUGGAGCUCAGAGGAAGAGCAUCUUGCUUUUUAUGCAGAAGAUCCCAGGUUCCAUCCUUGGCAUCUCUAGGUUGGGCUGGAAGAGAAUCCUGACUGGAAACCUGCCAGCAGUGUAGACAACACUGGGGAGACGGCCCAAUGAUACCUCACCUCUCCCACAGUUUGCAUCUUUCUUUGCCCACACACAGGGCCAUCUUUAGUAUAUGUGCCGCCAGGGUGCAAAGAUCCACCCAGCUCCCCAUAGUGCACCCCCGGGUAAAGACGGCCCUGCCACUAUCCAAUAUAAGUAUGCAUCGGGCUCUACUGCUGCAGCCCUUCAACCCCUGUGGCUCAACCAAACCCAGUGGGAUUACUCAAGAGGAAACAGUGGAUGAGCCCCGGGAUCGGGUCGGACCUAUCCACGCAGAAGCCAGUGGAAAGCGCCACGCACGCACGCCUCGCAGCUUAAAAGCCCCCGGCUCCAAAACAGGCAAAUUAACCCUUAACACAGGAGCAGAGACAAAACCUUGGUUGCGUUUGCGCACAAAUGCUCCACCCACGAUCAGAGGACCUCCAUAUAAAUGCCAAGGAAAGUCCUGUGUUCUCUCAAGCAUUUCAUGAGCCCUUCUUGUUCCCCCUUCCAGCUCCUUGAAGAAGCCCUUUGUGCAGAUCCCUAUGCACGGAACAAAUAUUUUCCUGAAAUGGCACCGUCCCCUCCCUGCCACCAUCCAGAGCAGCUAACUUGCAAGAGCUGACCCCAAUUGCUGUUAAGGAAGAGGAGCUCCCCCCUUCCCCUCUCCUUCCUUCUCCUCCUCACACACCCCACCGCCCCGCGCAUCCCAGUAAAGGCUAGGGCGAAAUAUCACCCUAUCAUUCAAAAGGAGUUGUUCCAGGAGAAAGACGGGCUUAGCUGAGCAGAUUUAGUGUUUUCCAGAUGCACGGCUCGUAAUGUUUCAAAUGGAGCAGCUGCAGCCUAGAGAGUGAUUGAGAGUUUUACAUAUGGUUUGUAGCCGCCCAGAGCACUGCCUCAUCUGUAAGGAAUAGAGGGGACACAGUCCAAAGAGAUAGGGCUGUCUGCACAGAAGGAGGGGACUGCUCUCUCUCUCCUUUCUCCCACCCCUUUUCUGUAAAGCAGGAGAUACCUGGGGCGCUGUGCAGGGAGGGGGAGCCAUUGGCUUCCAAAGGCAGAUAUGCAAGUGAAGCUGCGCCCUGAAUGCAAAGGUUUCCGAAGAGGGGAAGGUCAAAGGCAAAUUGCCAAGUAAUUGGCCCAGAUAUGAUAGCUCCCAAAGGGCUACAGUGCAUAUUUAAAAACGAAACCAACAAAACAAGGAGAAAAAGAAAAUGUUGCCUUCUGCUGCAAGAUAACCAUCUCUCUUUGCUAGUCCACACCACAAAACUCACCCCAGGCAAAGGUGUUUGCAAAGGGGCCCACAGCAAUGCUGGGAUUGCUUAAGGUCUGCCGCAGAGCUUUUGCAACAGAAGUUGCCAAAUUACCGUUUGAAGCGGCUGCAUCCCAGCGACAUGAGGCGAAAGGGAGGCAGGGUCCGUGGGCUGGGAGAGAAAGGCCUUUCUGGAGGCCCAUAACAUAAUCUUAGGCGGCUUCAGCAGCGGGUGCCUGGCGCCCCCCUGAAUGUGGUGCCCAGGUGCCCCACACCCCUUGUACCCCUGGGCUGUCUUUAACAGCCCUGCCCACACAGAAAUAGAAGCAGUUCACAAAAAGGAUAAGGAAAAGUGGGACUUGCAACAGAGUGUUGCAAUGCAGACUUGUCUAGCCAGCCAGCCGUGCCUCUCCCCCCCCCCCCCCCGAUGCUGCAUUUUCAUUUCCUGCAACAGACAUUCAGCAAUUUGUGAUUCCUGGGUUAUCUCGUGGCUUGUUUGGCUCUUGCUCCCUUAGCUGUACCUUCUCUCUCUAUAUAUAGAUAUUCAUUCUGCAACCUCUGAGGCCAUUCCUGUUUCUCAUGCACCCAUUUUGGCUUCAGUCCUGUUGGCACUUACUAGCUCAUCUUAGCACUAUUCUGGUGUAAUAGGAAUUAGUACGGCAUAGAGGUUAGAGUGUUGGAUUAGGCUCUGAGGGACCAGGGUUCAAAUCCCCACUUGGUCAUGAAGCUCAUUUGGGUGACCUUGGCCCAGUCACUGCCUCUCAGCCUAACCCACCUCACAGGGCUGUGUGGACAGGAACAACAAGGUAUGGCUUCUUGGACGAAAGGUGGUCUAGAAAUGAGACAAAUAAACAAACAAAGGAGUGAUAUAAACUGAAGGCUAAAACGGGAAUUUGCAUUUUCCGCAAUUAAUUCAAAUUUCAUAGGGGAGCUGUUCUCCUACAGGGGCCCUUAAAUGCUUUCCACAUAACCCUGUUUAGUCUGCCCAUACAUUCACAGAGUGAUGGUGUCUUGCUAUCAAGUAAACUAAGAGAGCGAACACAUUUAGGAAGAACCAUCUCGGAACUAAUUGUUGAAAGUUUAUGUCAUCUCAUGGUGAACAAAGAAAGAAAGAUAAUGAAAGGAAUUAGUCUGAAAGCAAUAGAGAAUGAUUUGGGGGUGUGGUGAAUCAUAUGACAUGCUUUUACAAAACCAAUGGUCUGAAAUGCUUUAGUUCAAUACUCUGUGAAGUUCUGAUCUCUCAAUGAGAAUAUAUAUAUAUAUGUGCGUGCUGGGGCAUGCAAUAAGAUCCCAUUCCUACCUACCACAACAAGCCUCUAAGGGGGAGAAACAGAUAGGGGCUAUGAUGCUUGGCCUUGUGUUUGAGCCCCCAAGGCUCUUUGCAACAUCUCUACUUUUGAUCCCAUCCAGCCAAUUCUGUAGGCCCAGUAGCCUGAUGUCAAAUAUCUCGCCACUCUUUUGGAACAGCGAAGCAGAGAAAUAUCAAGGGUAUUUAGGAUAAUAGCAGCCCCACCCUUUCCCCCAGUGCAGCUUCUGAAUCAAUAAGAAACCAAUAACCUAAAAAAAGGAAAUGUGUGGUUUUCUUCUGCUGUCCCCUUCCCUCCUACAUAAUCCUAGACCCCUUUGAGAGUUAGCUAUUUUUCAAAUGCUGAUCAAUGCCUCUGAGCGCUGAAAAACUUGGCAGAACAGUUUGGCACUCCCCCCCCCCACCUUUUUUAACAUUGCUGAUGUGCAAAAUGCCCCAGAUUUGCUUUGUUUUCAGAUUGAGGCUCCAGGCACGGAGAGCCUGCUGGAACACACUCCUCUGCUCCUCUGCAAUGUGCUUGCACAAGCACCGCAAGCAAUAGUCUGCCUUUAAGUGCCAUCUCCUGCCUGCACGGCUUGUCAAAACUCCAAUGCUUCUAAAGAUAAGUAAACAUUCACCUGGAAGCGAAGAUACUAACAAUCUGCAGCUCUUUUUCAUCUUACUUUGGUUGGAAGCAGCUUUGAAUGACGGGAAAACCUUCCUCAUUCCAGAUAAACCGAACUGGCUCUUGCACUGGCCAAUGUGUCCAUCAUUUAUUGUGCUGGAUGCAACGCAUGCAGCAGAGAGAGGGAAAAUGUAGGCACAUGCCUAGGAAGUCAAAGCAAACAGUCAUCCGAGAUUUACUGAUUUUGUUUAUAGUGCCUCUUUCAGAUUCAAAGACAGGGUUUAGGACAAAGGAAUAACCCAGCUCUACAUUUCUAUGCUCUCAGACUAUUUGCCCAUUGAGGCCUAGGGAUGGACAACUGUGUCAAUUUCGCUUUCUUUCAGUUCCUCGGUUUUCCAAAUUUAAUUUUCAUUUCCACAUCAGUUUGCAUUAAGACCUCAUGAAAAUUCUUCAGCAUUUUAGUGCAAAUUUCCCCCAAUACAGUGGUGCCUCGCAAGACGAAAUUAAUUCGUUCCGUGAGUUUUUUCGUCUAGCGAAUUUUUCGUCUUGCGAAGCACGAAAUCCCAUAGGAAUGCAUUGAAAUUCAAUUAAUGCGUUCCUAUGGUCAAAAAAAGUCCAAUCAAAGCCAAAUUCGGUACAACAAGAGUUUAUUAACUGCUCUUUAAAGUCACACAUACUUUAAGAGAAUUGAAGGAACAAUAAAUUAAGUUUCUAAACAUGACAGGAAAAACAUUUAAAAAUCAAAAAAGGGUACAUUACAUUUUCUAAGACUCUGGGGGACCACUCGAAGAAGGUUCCUCUUCCACUCUUUGCUUCUUGCUGAGGAACCUGUCCAUGGUCUGCUGCUUCACCCGCCGUUUCAGCAGCUCCCUGAGAGGCGACAUGACCGUCGUAUCAAAAAUGUUCGCUUGGUCAUGUGCCACGUGCUUGUCAGGGUGGUGCCGCUCUGCAAAAGCCUGCACCUCAUUCCACUUCUGGCAAAUGUCCCUCAGUUCUUUGGAGGACAGCCGUUCCUCAGUUGCUUCCUCCUCUUCCAGCGAGGCCUGCUCCUGCGCAACCUCUGACUGCAGUGCAACCAGCUCCUGGGUGGUCAGCUCGUGGUCGUGCUCCUCCACCAGCUCGCAAACGUCCUCCUCUGUGACCUCCAGGCCCAAGGUCCUCCCUAAGGAAACAAUGUCCUGCACCACUGUCGACUCUGGUGCAUCAGAGUCACUUGGUGCCACACAGUCCGGCCACAGGCUGCGCCAAGCGCAAUUCAAAUUCCUCUGGCUGAUCCCCUUCCAGGCCGUGGUGAUCAUCUUCAAGCAGGUGACGAUGUCGAAGUGGUCCUUCCAGAAUUCCCGCAGGGUGAUGGUGGUGCAAUCAGUCACCUCGAAGCAUCGCCUGAAAAGCUCCUUGGUGUAGAGUUUCUUGAAAUUGGCGAUGACCUGCUGAUCCAUCGGCUGGAGCAGUGGCGUGGUGUUAGGCGGCAGGAACAUGAUGUUGAUGAAGCUGAACUCCUCCAACAAGUCCACCUCAAGGCCUUUAGGAUGAGCAGGAGCAUUGUCCAUCAGAAGCAAAGCCUUCAGCGGCAGGUCAUUGUCCAGCAGGUACUGUUUGACAGCAGGGCCAAAGGCAAGAUUGACCCAGUCCACAAACAGCACACGUGUGACCCAAGCCUUGCUGUUGGAUCGCCACAUGACACUCAGCCGCUCCUUGUCGACCUUGUGUUUCUUGAAGGCCCGUGGGUUCUCCGAGUGGUACACCAGCAGGGGCUUGAUCUUCAGGUCGCCGCUUGCGUUGGCACAGAAGAGCAGGGUCAGAUGGUCCUUCAUGGGCUUGUGGCCAGGCAACUUGGCCUCCUCCUGAGUGAUGAAAGUCCUUUGGGCAUCCUCUUCCAAAACAGCCCGGUCUCGUCGCAGUUGAAGACCUGCUGUGGAACGUAGCCCUCCGUCUUCACAACCUCCAGGAACUCCAAGGCAAAGUCUUCAGCCGCAGGAACAUCAGAACUGGCAGCCUCUCCAUGCCUGACCACGCUGUGGAUUCCGGAUCUUGCCUUGAACCGGUCAAACCAGCCUCUGCUUGCCUUGAAGACUUCUGGCUCGGCCGAGGUUCCUGGCUGUUCCCGGAUGAGGUCUGCGUGCAAGGCCUUGGCCUUCUCACAAAUCACGGCCUCAGUCACUGUGUCCCCUGCACGCUGCUUCUCUUCUAUCCAGAUGAGGAGCAACUUCUCGACCUCCUCCAGAACAGCUGGGCGGUUCUUCACGAUCCUGGUGACUCCCUUGGCUGCAUCAGUCGCAAGGAUCUUCUCCCUCAUCUUCAGGAUGGUCCCGAUGGUCGAUGGGUUCCUGCCGUACUCCCUGGCGAGGUCCGUCACACGCAUUCCACCGUCGUGCUUCCGGAUGAUCUCCUUCUUCAUCUCCAGCGUCACCUUCUCCUUCUUCCUCUCGCCGGCCUCCGCAGCAGCAGCAGUCUUCUUGGGUCCCAUGGCAGCACAGCUGUUACCUUUGUAAAACUCAGAAAAAGAAAAAAAAAAUCAGCAAUUCAAACCCACAACCAAGUCCUUGAAUUCCAAACACCCAACCCAAAAUCCAAAGACCCCAAAAAAAGUUUUAAAAGUUUAACUUACGAAAUGGCUGCAAAUCACCAAAGUCUUCAAAAUCCUCAAAUGGCUGCAAAAGAAAUUUUGGGAAAGCUUUAAAAAUCACCAAAGUCUUCAAAAACCUCAACUGUUCCCCCAGCCCCUCCCCAACUGUUGCAAAUCCCUCCCCAACUGUUGCAAACCCCUCCUCAACUGUUCCCCCAGCCACCCAGCACACAGAAAUUCAAAACCCAGAAACUUUUUCAAAAAAAAACAACAUGGCCCAAUGGUUACAGAAAACCAUAAAAAUUCAAAAAGCACACAAGCUCCCAGAUUCCUGCAAACCCCUCCUCAACUGUUCCCCAGCCACCCAGCACACAGAAAUUCAAAACCCAGAAACUUUUUCAAAAAACAACAACAUGGCCCAAUGGUCACAAAAAUCAUAAAAAUUCAAAAAAAACCACACAAGCUCCCAGAUUCUUGCAAACACCUCCCCAGCUGUUCCCCAUCCACCCAGCACACAGAAAUUUAAAACCUAGAAACUUUUUCAAAAAAACAACAUGGCCCAAUGGUCACAAAAAUCAUAAAAAUUCAAAAAAGCACACAAGCUCCCAGAUUCUUGCAAACCCCUCCCCAGCUGUUCCCCCAUCCACCCAGCACACAGAAAUUUAAAACCCAGAAACUUUUUUCAAAAAACAACAACAUGGCCCACUGGUCACAAAAAAAUCAUAAAAAUUCAAAAAAAACCACACAAGCUCCCAGAUUCUUGCAAACCCCUCCCCAGCUGUUCCCCCAUCCACCCAGCACACAGAAAUUAAAAACCCAGAAACUUUUUGAAAAACAACAACAUGGCCCAAUGGUCACAAAAAAAUCAUAAAAAUUCAAAAAAAAGCACACAAGCUCCCAGAUUCUUGCAAACACCUCCCCAGCUGUUCCCCCAUCCACCCAGCACACAGAAAUUCAAAAUUCAAAGCCAGAUUUUUUUAAAAAAAAAAAAUAAACAUGGCCCAAUGGUCACAGAAAAUCAUAAAAAUGCAGAAAAAAACCACACAAGCUCCCAGAUUCUUGCAAACCUCUCCCCAACACCAAGUCCUUGAAUUCUAAACACCCCAACCCAAAAUCCCAAAAACCCCAAAAAAGUUUUAAAAGUUCAACUUACCAAACAGCUGUAGAAGAAGUUUUGGAAAAGCUUCAAAAAUCCAGCAAACUCUUUAAAAAGCUCAGAAAGGCCACCACACCGCGUGCAAUGUGUUGCUCCUCGAGGUCAAGUCGCAACUGCACCUCUUCCAGCAAUGCACCCUGGGUUUUAACGGUUUUACGAAAAGGAAACAAACUGGCAAGACGUUUCGUCUUGCGAAGCAAGCCCAUAGGGACAUUCGUCUUGCGAAGCAACUCGAAAACGAAAAAACCUUUCGUCUUGCGAGUUUUUCGUCUUGCGAGGCGUUCGUCUUGCGGGGCACCACUGUAUACAAAUAUUUGUAUGCAAUUUUGUCAAACGUGCAGAUUGCUGCAAAGCAAUUCCUCCUCCCCAUAUAAUGCAUUUUUGUAUGAUAUUUUUCACCAACAUCUGCAUUUUCAGGCACACUUUGCCCUAAAAAUGCAUUUUGUGUGUGUUACUUCUCUAGAGUACUGCAUUGCAAGGUUCAGAAAAGCGGACCUUUCCAAAGAUGGCUGCAUUUUGGGUUACAGAUUGUUUUGGAAAGUGUGAAUUUGGUAGGUGCAUCUUUAAAUGAAAAAUGAAUCCAAUUUCUUCUGCAUUCCUAUCUAGACCUAUGUUUUCUAUUCUUUUUUUCUUUUAAUGUGUGGUGACAGAUGUCUUUCCCAUUAUCCCCACCUCCCCAGCGACCUUUUUUCAGCUGCUCUAUUCACUUGCUGUUGACAGGCAGCCCAAGGUGGGAUGAUGUGGCCCCUAUUCUUAAAGAUCCACACUGGCUGCCUCUUUGGUACUGGGCUGACUUUGGCCAGUACCGAAUACAGAGACCAAAUACUUGGAAGGAUCCAAUCCACUAUUACCAAUCCCCAUUCCCAAAGGGCAUAUGUGCUGCAGAAAUCUAAGCAUUGAAAUCUUGGAAAGAACCCGUGGCCCACUCUUUCUUUGUCCUUCAGCAGCUGAGAGGCAGAACAGAAAGCUGUGCAGUUUUCCUCCCUUCCUCACCCUUGAAAAUAAGAAAUAACAAAUCUUCAAAUUUUGUUCAUGCUCUCAGUGCAAACUCACCAGCCCCUCAAGUGAUUACCAAAUAAAAGAGAAAGAUAGGCUUGGCUCAGCACUUGUUCCCAGACCAUCUUCAUGGGCCAUCUGAUCUCAAGUAGCCUGAUCCCACUACCACCAGCAGGAACGAUAUCAAUCAGAGCUGUGCAUUUCCAGAAGAGGCUGGUAAUGGGCACACAGGGCCCCAGCUGUCACCUGGAUACAGGGGCCUAGGAAAGGGGGGUGGGGCCGUCCCGGGGGCUACCAUGGAGGGGGGUGACAAAUUAUCAAGGAACAAUUACUGCCCUAAUGGGGCGGUCCAUAAAAAACUUUUUUAAAAAAAUGCCUGCUCCGAAGGUCUUAUCUUACUACACUAGGGAUUAUAUAGCAAUAUAUGAAAUUUCAUGCAUAUCAGUUAAUAUCUUGACCCUCCUCCAUGAAAAUAGCUGUUUACUUGGCCGUUUCCCUAUGUCGUGAAGGCUGAAAUUUCAAUUCAGUGAAGCAGGGUCAAGAUAUUAACUGAUAUGCAUGAAAUUAUAUAGCUAUAUAAUGCCUAGUGUAGUAAGAUAAGACCUUUGGAGCAGGCAUUUUAAAAGAAAAAAGUUUUUUAUGAAUUGCCCUACUGCCCCACCCUCCGCUUGGCUUCCAGGUUGUGGAAAGUCGGCCUAGGUGAAGAAAAUGAGACGAGGCCGAGUAGAUUAGGCCUUGCCUUGCCUUCGCCCCCUCCUGCCCCCUGCACGCAGCCGAUUUUUCUUGCUUUUACUGGUGUGGUGGUUUUUUGUUUUUGUUUUGGUAAACCACUUUGCAGGUGUUUUUUUUAAAAAAAUUAUUAAAUAAAUAAACAAUAAAUAUAAAUAAAAUAACAAAAGCCAAAACACAAUCCAUCCUGUAGAUUUAAGUAUCUGUCCAUAGUUGCCUACUUGUUAACAGAGGCCCAGAAUCAACAUUCCUUUGUAAGAAAAGAUGAAAUAACGUAAAACCAUUUUUGCAGGCAAAAAUAAUAAAAAAAUCAAUGGGGGGGUGACAAGAAAUUUUCCGCACCGGGUACCACCUGACGUUCCUAUGCCUCUGCCUGGAUACCCCAGAGUGAGAGCAGGUCCAGAGGCAAGGCCAGCUCCAAUCCCAAUCCCUACUAGCUGACCCACUGACCCCCCAGCUAGAACCACUUCCAUCUGGUCUGGGCUGAAUUUUAGCUGUGAAGUAGCAACCCCUGCCAGCACCGGGGGUGGAGUAAAGUUGUUGAGCUCCACCCUCCUGCAACACCCAAAUCAACCAGGAACCGCUGUGCCACCCGCAAGCUCCCCAGAGUCCCAACCCCUGACGCACAGCAGCCACCGUGCCACACUGCAGUAUUGCUGUUGUUGUUGUUAUUAAAUAUUAAUAUUUUCCAAUAUUAUUAUUACAAUAUUAUUAUCCAAAUACACAUACAGUUAUUUAUAGUUGACAAUAUUUUUUAUAAACACACUUUAAAUAUUAUUAUACUUGUCCAUACGAAGUCUAUGCCUGUAAGCAAUCCGUUCAUCAGUUGCACGUGUUGUCAUCUCUUUAGUCCAUUGACUGAAGGGGGCCAUAUAUUUGGCAACAGAAAGGGUACAAAGACUCCAUUUAUGUUGUCCAGUUGUCAAAUUCCAUAUAGUAGGUAUGUAAUUCAAAAUAAGAAUUUCCUCUGAAAAUGCUAAGUUUUUCUACUCAGUCACGUUUCUGAAUCCAAUAUUUUCUCCCAAAACUUAGCAAGCAUAGGACAUUGUAAAAACACAUGUUCCAAAGAAGCGUUAUCUUUAUUACAUCUCCAUAGCACGCUGUCUUAGACAAUCCUUUUCUAAAUAAACAUAACAGAGUCCAAUAAAUUCUAAAUAUUGUUUUCUGUUGUGUAAGUUGUAUUUUAAGAUCCACAGGCACCUUUACUACAGAAGCUAAGACACUUCCCCACUGUCGACCUGGAACCCUAGUACCCACGGGACUCCUUCUCCUGGUAUGCCCCACGGAGGACUUUAUGGUCCUCAAACAAUAACGUUGUGGAGGUCCCGGAUCUCAAGGAGAUUAGGCUGGCCUCGACCAGGGCCAGGGCCUUUUCGGCCCUGGCCCCGAUCUGGUGGAACGCUGUGUCGCAAGAGAGAGUCCCUGUGGGACUUGACAUCUUUCCGCAGGGCCUGCAAGAUGGAGCUGUUCUUUUACAAGACCCUGCAUAUAAGUGGCCUCUCUAACUCUGCUCACCGGCUUAUACAAAUAGCUGCGCCUGGUGAGUAAUUAAGGUUCCCAACCCCUAUAGUUACAGUUACAAUUUGCAGGUAGCCAUCUGAUCUUAUUUUGAUUUUAAUCUGAUUUUAAGUUGUAUUUCAGUCGACUGCUGAAUUUUAUGUCUUAAUUUUAUUUUUUUAUGUUAGCCGCCCUGAGCUCGGUUCUGGUUGGGGAGGGCGGGAUAUAAAUAAAAAUUAUUAGUAUUAUUAGUAUUAUUAGUAUUAUUAUUACUGUAAUAUCCAGUUCUUUCUUCCACUCAUUAAUUAAAAUCAGCACAUCAAAUUGAUGUAUUGAUAACAAAUAUCUCUUAAAAAAGGAUCAUGGACUUUUUAAUUUCAAAGGACUGGACCAAAUCUUCUACCAUCAGCUGGGUGAGGACUGCAGGGCCUGCUCCCUUCCAGGGCCUUUUCCAACUGGCCCAGGGGGCGUGGCCCAGGCCCUUAUUUGGAACAAACUUUUGGGGAAGUGUGGGAAGUGUUUUGCCAUUGCUUCCCUGUUCCAGGUGGUUAAUGUGCUUUAAAAUGUCCUCAAGCAGUCGGUGGCAAUUUAAAUUUUUAUUUCUUUUUUUCCUUUGUUGGGGGUGGGUGGGUGGGAUGGAUAUUUGGUUGGGGAUUAAUUUUAGUAUAAUUGUUCUGUUCCUUUUUUGUUGUUGUUUUAUUGGUUCUGUAUAGUUUGUGUUUUGUUUUUAAGGGGCGGGAUCAGGGCUGCCUGGGAGUGGGGCCCCAGCCAACACGAUGGCUGGGACAAGUUCCACGGGGGGGAGCACUGGGACAUCCGAUCUCGGUGAUCAUGGGCAGGAGGCGGAGUUACACUAAGACCAGACCAUGUCAUUACCGAGGAGGCAGGUUUAGUCGUUGUUUGAAGACUAUCCCUGCCUCCGGGUCUGGCCUUGACCUGAUGGAUACUGGAAUCAACAGGGGAAACCCACAUGACCUGAAGGUGUUGCUGUGUAAUGCCAGGUCAAUGAUGAAUAAAACCACUGCCAUCCACGACCUGAUUGUGGAUGGAGGAUUGGACCUGGCAUGUGUGACAGAGACCUGGUUGGAUGAAGCAGAUGGGCCUGUCUCUGCCGCUGCUUGCCCACCAGGUUUCUCUUACGCACAGCAACCCAGGUCAUGUGGGCGGGGAGGGGGGGUUGCAGUGAUUUUUAGGAAGUCACUAGCUUGCACCAGGCGUCCUACUGGGAAGAUCCAGUUUUCUGAGUGCAUGUUCUGGAAGUUGGGCAAUAGGGGCAGUACAGGAUUCCUAUUGGUGUACCAACCUCCCUACUGCACCAAGGAUUCCCUGUCUGAGCUGCUUCAGGUCGUGGCAGAUUUUCUCCUGGAGACACCUAGUUUGGUUGUCCUAGGGGAUUUUAACAUCCAUGCCGACACGACCUUACAAGGGGCUGCUCGGGGCUUCGUGGAAAGCAUGGCCUCCAUGGGGCUGUCCCUGAAUAAGUUUGGCCCAAGUCAUAGCCGCGGACAUGCCUUGGACCUGGUGUUCACCUCUAGUGACGUGGGUGAUCUGACACUAAGUAAAAGUGAAACAAAAGAAGUGCCAUGGUCAGAUCACUUCCUGGUGCAACUGGACUUCUCCGCGACCCUUCCCCUCUGCAGGGAGGUGGGACCAAUUUGGAUGGUCCGCCCCCACCACUUAAUGGAUCCAAAUGGUUUCCAGAGAGUGGUAGGGGAUGCUUUAUCCCAUGUUGAUGGCCUUUCAGCUGAUUCCGUGGUGGCCCGCUGGAAUGCGGAGUUAACCAGGGCUAUCGACUGUCUGGCUCCAAAGCGCCCUCUCCGAUUGCAUGGAGCCCGGACAGCCCCGUGGUUUUCUUCGGAGCUGAGGGUGAUGAAACAAUCGCUGAGACGGCUAGAGCGUCGGUGACAGAAAACUCACUCCGAAUCUGACUGGACACAGGUUAGAGCUCAACGUCGAGCCUACCAAGUGGCGAUAGCGACGGCGAAGAAGACUUUCUUCACCGCCUCUAUUGCAUCUGCAGAAAAUAGUAGCAGGAGACUCUUUCAGGUGGUUCGCAAUUUAACGGAACCACCUUUACCACCAGGGCCUUGUAAAGACCCCAAGAUCUCCUGCAACGAUUUUGCAAAGUUUUUUGCAGAUAAAAUCACUCAUAUUCGGAAGGAGCUAGACACCACCGUGGGAGCAGGGCUGGGGCGGGAGAGUGCUAGAGCUCUGUCUGGUCAAGUUGCAUGGAAUCAAUUUCAAUCCGUUACCCCCGAGGAUGUGGACAGGCUGCUUGGACACGUGAAACCAACCACCUGUCUCCUUGAUCCUUGCCCAUCCUGGCUAAUAAAAGCAAGCCGGGAAGGGCUGGGCGAUGGGCUCUGCGGGGUGGUGAAUUCUUCCCUCUGUGAGGGAACAUUCCCAGAUCCGUUGAAAGAGGCGGUCAUUAAACUGCUUCUUAAAAAAACAUCUUUAGACCCAGCCACUAUGGCCAACCAUCACCCAAUCUUAAAUCUUCCAUUCUUGGGCAAGGUGGUUGAAGGGGUGGUUGCUGAAGAACUGCAAGCACGCCUGGAGGAUGCGGACCAUUUGGAUCCCUUCCAAUCGGGAUUCAGGUCUCAUCAUGGGACUGAAACUGCCUUGGUUGCGCUGGUUGAUGAUCUCCGGCGAGCUAGGGACAAAGGUGAGAGUUGUUUCCUAGUUCUGCUGGUUAUCUCAGCGGCCUUUGAUACAAUCGACCAUAACAUCCUUCUGGACCGUCUAGAGGGGCUGGGAGCUGGGGGCACUGUUAUACAGUGGUUUCGCUCCUUCCUCCUGGGCCGUGUUCAGAAAGUGGUGGUGGGGGAUGAGUAUUCAGACCCCUGGGCCCUCACUUGUGGGGUGCCCCAGGGUUCUGUCCUCUCCCCCAUGCUUUUUAACAUCUAUAUGAAGCCGCUGGGAGAGAUCAUCAGGGGGUUUGGACUGGGUGUCCAUCAAUAUGCAGAUGAUACCCAGCUCUACUUCUCUUUCAAAUCAGAACCAGUGAAGGCGGUGAAGGUCCUGUGUGAGUGCCUGGAGGCGGUUGGAGGAUGGAUGGCGGCUAAUGGAUUGAAGUUGAAUCCUGACAAGACAGAAGUACUGUUUUUGGGGGACAAGAGGCGGGCAGGUGUGGGGGACUCCCUGGUCCUGAAUCGGGUAACUGUGCCCCUGAAGGACCAGGUGCACAGCCUAGGAGUCAUUUUGGACUCACAGCUGUCCAUGGAGGCGCAGGUGAAUUCUGUAUCCAGGGCAGCUGUCUACCAACUCCACCUGGUACGCAGGCUGAGACUCUACCUGCCCGCAGACUGUCUCGCCAGAGUGGUGCAUGCUCUAGUUAUCUCCCGCUUGGACUACUGCAAUGCGCUCUACGUGGGGCUACCUUUGAAGGUGACUCGGAAACUACAACUAAUCCAGAAUGCGGCAGCUAGACCGCCGAGACCACAUAACACCAGUCUUGAAAGACCUACAUUGGCUCCCAGUACGUUUCCGAGCACAAUUCAAAGUGCUGGUGUUGACCUUUAAAGCCCUAAAUGGCCUCGGCCCAGUAUACCUGAAGGAGCGUCUCCACCCCCAUCGUUCUGCCCGGACGCUGAGGUCCAGCGCCGAGGGCCUUCUGGUGGUUCCCUCAUUGCGAGAAGCAAAGCUACAGGGAACCAGGCAGAGGGCCUGCUCGGUAGUGGCGCCCACCCUGUGGAACGCCCUCCCAUCAGAUGUCAAAGCGAUAAAUAACUACCUGACAUUCAGAAGACAUCUUAAGGCAGCCCUGUUCAGGGAAGUUUUUAAUGUGUGAUAUUUUAGUGUAUUUUUGGUUUCUAUGGAAGCCGCCCAGAGUGGCUGGGGAAACCCAGCCAGAUGGGCGGGGUACAAAUAAUAAAUUAUUAUUAUUAUUAUUAUUAUUAUUAUUAUUAUUAUUAUUAUAUCUCAGAAGCUAUAGAAGCUCUUGCAGCUGCAGAUAUUGCCAUUGGGAUGCCUCUGAUAGGGAUGGGGAGCAUCUGAGCCUCCAGAUGUUGCUGGACUCCAAUUCCCAUCAUCUGGGACGUGGGCUGAUGGAAGUUGGAGUCCAACAACACCUGGAAGGCUGUAGGUUUUCCAACCCUGAAUUAAGAUUGAGUUAAUUAAUUGGGUAUUUAAUUUGCUGGCUUAGUUGUCAGUUUAUCUUGUGCUGUUGGGAUUGUUAAAUCUGUUAUAAAUUGAGAUGUUAUUAUCCUUAGUGUGUAAUGGUGUUUGGAGGAGAUUGCUCUGGAUUCUACCAUUUUUAUUGCUGAUGUAUUAGCUGCCUUGAGGUGGAAGAUGACUUAAAAAGAAAUAAAUGAUGGAAGUAAAAUAAAAUAGAUCCACCACUAUCUAGCCAAACUGAAAGGUGGAAACAGAGUCUGUCUCCCAGGGAGGGAGCCAUGUGCCAUCAAGCCCUCAGUGGCGGCUCCUGGGUAACAAUCCAAACUGCAAAACAGCAGUUCAGGGAACCUUGUCUUGUGAAAAUUGCAUGCCCUCUUUUUCCAGAUAAUUGCCCAGAACGUGCAGUGACAAUUUUCAGCAAGGAAAAAAAAUCUGAGGAAAUAACUGAGAAGGUUUUGCACAUCUGGGAUGAGAAACCUCUGCCCCUUCCUGGUGUUUUUGGACUUCAAUUCCCAUCAGCCUCUGGCAGCAUGGCCAAUGCUCAGAAAUCAUGGGCGUCGUCAUCUAGCAACAUCUAGCCCAAAAAUUCUGAUUUCUAUAUCUAGAGGUUCAUAACUUCCAAAUGUCCCAAUUUUCCAGGGGCGGUCUUAGAAUUACAAAAGCCAUCCCAGCGUCUGAUUUGAUCCCAUAAUUUCCUGUUUCCCCUUUCCACCACCCAGCUCAGGGAGGAGGAGGAGCCACUGCUUGUCCUGUUGCCUUUCCAGGGCUGCUGCUGCCACCCUCCUCCCUUGGGCAGCUCAUAGCAGCUGCUGGAGAGCGGGCAAGGAGGAGGAGAGGCUGUGGCCAUGAGGUCCUGCGCUGGAUGACAUGCUGGCUUUGAGCUGCAGGCAGAGGGCAGGGCUACCCUGGGCGGGAAGGAAGGGGGAGUGGAGCAGAGCAAAGCAAAGUGCAAGAAGCCUUGAUUUAAAAAAAAAAUGCUUUGAGAGUCCAAAAUGUCUUGGGCCAGCCCAGUGGGCUGCAGUUGUGAUUUUCUGCUUCAGGACUCAAAACGCCUUGUGCAAUCCUAGCCAGGAGGGCAUGGCGAUCACCUGAACUCCUCCAGCCUCCCUUUGACAGUUCCGGAGGUGGGGAAGAAAAAUAGCUGUUGCUUAAUAUAAAACAUUAAAAGCCAUCAGAUGAUACAUUUAUUACAAUUCAUAUGGGAAGAAAACAACACUUUUUAAAAAGGUGAAAUGUGUGAGAUAUUCUUGUCACUAUUAUAUCGGAAAGUGGCCUAUUUUGCUCAUAUCCUUAUUAGUCAUGGGCCACACCUGAUCCAAAACCUAUAAUUUGGGAUUUUCAGUUUGCUUAAAUAGUGUUGUGGGAUUCAUGGGGAAAUUUAAACUGUUAUCAUUUUUAAUGUUGUGUUGUUAGAAAAAGUGAGAGAGCUUCAACUGAGCUGUACAAUGCAGAUGAGCCAAUGCUUGAAACAAUGAAAAUAUCAGAAUCUGGAAAAACGAGAAUAUUGUUGCAACUCAGACCUAUAUACAUUACAGGACAGAGAGAAACGAAAUAUAGAAAAGCAGAGACAUUGAGAGGUACCUAAUUAACAGGGAAGAUUCAGGAAAAAGCUUGUUGAUGGCACAUAAAUCUUGGCAUUGGUAACUCAAUUAACAAAACUACACUCCGCUACAAAUCCUUUGCUUUGGUUCAGGCCUUUCUAGGCUCUGGAAUAUCUAUGUUUUCCCCUAUGAUGUUGGACCUCACCCCACCCCCUUGGUUUCUUUCAGAUAUAUCAUAAAUUGCCACAGUUCAUAGAUUGUGGCAGCUCUUUGCCUUAAGCUAAUAUCAUCUGGGCAACAAUAAUAGGAUCACAGAAUUGUUGGAAGUGACACAAAAGUUUUGCAAAGGUGAAGCUGGCUUGUCACCUGCUUACUGGAAAACAGGUUGCAAUAAAAAUAAUGGACAAGCUCUCCAACUGCCUGCCAUGCAGGCAUCAAAGCUACUAUUCCCAGAAUGGGAAUUUAUCAACCCUUCUACGUAAGGAACUCUGGGAAGGGGAGGGCAAUAAGGAGCACCCCAACAACUCUCGGCACCCUUGAUCGACUACAGCUCCCAGGAGUCUUUGUGGGAAGCUAUGAGUGGCAUCAUGGCACUUUAACCGUAUGGUAUGGAUGGGGCCACAAUCUCUGGUGUCUUCAGGGAGAGUUGCUCCCAGUCAGAAUGGACAGAACCAAGCUAGAUGGACCGCUGGUCGUGACUAGUAUGAGGCAGCUACCUCCAUUCCUAAGCAUUACAUUUAUUCCAGAAUUGUAUAAUGGUGGCACUGCUUUGAGCUCCUGAAGUUCAUUUCCAUCUCCCACCUCCUUGUGUUAUUAUGACCUGUGCACAUCUGCAUUGAUUGAAUACUGUUUCAUUUGUUUUUCUUUUAAAGCAAUGUUGAUGUGAUUGUAUUUACAACUGCAUCAAGAUUCAGGUGCAUAUGAGCUUUUGUGCAUUGGUCCACACACACACAAAUCAUCUUGAUGCAACCGUAUCUAUACAUCAAGAUGGUCUUGUUUGUUAGCACAGAGGGAGGAGAUAAGAAGGAAAGAGCUAAAAGUGCAGAUGCACCAGUGUUCUGUACAAAUGCAGAAGGGGAGAAUGCACUUAUAUGUAUUGAGUUCCACUUUGGAAACAAAACCAGGUAAAUCAGAAUGCCACAAAGUCCAGGGAGAAAUUUGGAUGAGAUUUUGGAUGCAUCCCUACACCCACUUCUGGAACAGCCCAGUCAGGGCUGAGGAGGACAGCGAACAGAAACACUCCGCACUGCAACAAUUUGUUGCAGGCCCUAGAUGUUUCCUCUGUUUAGGUUAUGAGUGCCAUUGCUUAUGUAGCCCAAAAGGCAUCACCCUCACACGAGUCAAGGGGGAGGGGAUGUGAGUGGAACCCUAAAAACAGUCCAAUGAGAAUCAAGCAUGCUCAGUGGCCACAGAAUAACUGACUUGGGGCAGGGGAGGAAACUGUGAAAGGGUGCAGAAUGGAGGCACUUCACACUGCAACAACUUGUUGCAGCUCUCACUUCUUGCUCUCACUUUGCAUGAAGCUUGGAAACAGUUGAGAUGGCAAAGGCAGGACUAGUCCCUACAUCUUUUAAGAGAGAGAGAGAGAGAGAGAGAGAGAGAGAGAGAGAGAUUACACCCCCAAAUACAGCAAAUAAAUGCUUUUGUUGCAUUUAAUACACUCAUACCGUGGAUCCCAAAAGCCCUGGAACUCGGACGUUUUGGCUCCCAAACGACACAAACUCGGAAGUGAUUGUUUUGGUUUGCGAACAUUCUUUUGGAACCCGAACGUCCAGUGGGGCUUCCACAGCUUCUGAUUGGCUGCAGGAUCUUCCUGCAGCCAAUCAGAAGCCGCAAUUUGGUUUUUGAACGUUUUGGAAAUCGAGCCGACUUCUGGAAUGGAUUCAGUUCGAAUUCCAAGGUAUGACUGUAAUUAAAUGUUAACUUGUAGAAUACUUUGUGUGAUCAACAUGAAAAAUAAAUGCUUUAUAGAAGUGCAAGGUGCCAGUAUUAGAAUUUUGCAACACAAAGAGAGAGAGUUCAAACUACAGAAGAGCUAAGCAUUCAGUGCAAGUGUGCCUGCUACUUUAAUAAAUCAGCCUCAUCUAUUCAACUUAACCUUGCUUUUCACCUGUCAGCUGCUGGCAUCAGCUGCAAAAGAGGCACCGCAGGAGAAGGUAAACAAGGAGGCCCCUGAUGCUCCGAACAUGGAAAGGCAAACUGGAGGGAUGUGAAGGCCUAAGGAAAGGUUGCAGGAUGGCUCUGCAAUGCAAGAAUGGCCUGGUGUUAAAAGGUAAACUAGAAGGAGCCUGGCAGGUAUACUGGGUAGGUUUCUAGACCUCAUGCCUGCCAGGAGAAAAGGCUGAAGGUAGCACCAGUAAAUCCUGCAUCUUUUCUUUAAAAAAGAAAAGAAAGUUGUUCAGUGUUUGUUUGUGAGGAUGCCAGGAAAAUGGUCAGUGAGUCUUAAUGAAACAUGGCCAGCAGCUAAAACCAUCUCUGCAGCUCCCUGCUAGAUCUCCCAGCUUCAAAUUGUGACAUCUCCAGGUAGUGAUGGUAGAGACUUCCCUGGGGAGCCACAGUCAGUCAGUGGAGACAGUACUGAGCUGGGUGAACCAGUGGCCUUUCUCGGUAUAAGGCAGCUCCCAUCUGGCUCAGUAUCACUCGCUCUGACCGGCAGCCUCUCUCCAAGGUCUCAGACAGAGAGGGUUUCUCUCCUGCCACCUGGUCAUUCUAACUGGAUGUGUCAAGGCUUGGACCUCUAUGUGGGAUGGUGAACCUGUGGCCCUCUAGAUGGUCAGUGGACUCCCACCAGCAUGUAUUGUGGCCAGGGAAGAGGGGAGUUGUAGUACCAUUCCCCAACCCUGAUGUAAGAGGGAAACCCUCUUGGAACCCUGACAAAAAGAGGAAGCAUCAAACCUCAAUGCCCUCUGCUUCAUCUUCAUAACUUAAACUCUCCCCUAUGAAGUAAGAUGGCUGAUGGAGGGAGCCCAGCUUCCCAGCUCUCCCAGUGCUGGAAUGGCUGACCCCACCCCUAGUUCAUCAGGGCUACACAUCACCCCAUAAGACCAUCAAAUCCAGAGUGUGAAAAUCACCCAGUUGUCAUAUUGUCAGUCCUGCCUCUCUGAGUCUACUUCUGUGGUAUCUUCAUCUCAUGGACAUAUUAUUUUUUUAAAGGUCAGGCUGCCAUCUACAAGCUGGCCUUUUGUCAACUCAGCUAACAUCCGUGCUGUCCACUUAACUCUUGCCUGAUGUCCCAAUCUCUUCUUACAGAUGGGUUUUUGCUGUUCAAGCCACCUUUUCACUCCAAAUGCUGCUAGGAGGGAAGAGGAAGGAGGAGGGGAAAGAACCUGCCUCCUGGCUCCUCAUCAGACUUCCUUUGUGCAAAUCUCUUGCUUUGUGCCAGGCACUACGGGAAGCAAACAUGCCAUAGUGUGUAUCAGAGGAAGAUGACUCUCGCACUGCUGUUUCAUCCACCCACUUUAUUUUUCCAGUUCCCCACACGGCAAACAUUCUGCACUACUGAGCAGCACACAUGGCAGGAAUCUUCAAGAACAAAAAGCAACCAGUACUUGAGAAGAAGGGAGCCUUAAUGCUCUCUCCUUCUCUCGUUUGCAAGAAUCUUGGGAUUCCUCUGAAGCUAAGCAGAGGCUCGUUAAUGAGAAGGUCAUUAAUGACAAAUCUCAUUGAAAGGUAGUUUGCCCCUCCCACCAACCUUCCCUCUGCAACGCACAACUGUAGAGAAGUGUUAGUGGAGUGACAAGCUAUGCUUUCAGUUGUACAGCAUGUUGGUGAGGCCCAACACAGGUGCCCCCCGUACAAACUAAGUGCAGACUAUAGAAUGGGGGCUCUUAGGCCCAGGGCCCAAAUGCAGCCCUCCAUGCCUCUCCAUCUGGCCCUCAAGCCACAUCCUUCACCGGCCCUGCAUCCCAUCCUCAUUGAGAGUUCUUGCUUGGCUGAAAUGCUACUUGCUUGGCUGGAUGGAGGACAGAGGGGGUCUUGCAAGUGUGUGAACAAACAUACCUGCAAAGGUAACAUUUGCACUUUUUGCUCUGACCGCUUUUGCCUCUGGACCCCCCCCCCCCAUCCCUGGCAUGUGGCACCUGGGGGUUGCACAGAAGGGAAUGUGGCCCUCGGACUGCUGACCCUUGCUUUAGACAUUUCCCCAGAAUCCUUUGUGAUGCACCGAGGUUCUGUGGAAAGCAUGCGUGGAUUCCAACACAGGCAAUGUCUUCCAUGAAAGGUUUCCCUUGAGGUGCUGAGCUUGAAAAUCACUGAGAGGGCAAGAUGAGAGCAAAGAAAGGCAAAAUGAAAACGGACCCUGCUGUUCAAGCCAUCCUCCGUCCUAAAUGUGUUUCACAGGAAACAGCAGGAUUUACAUCAAGUAAAGAUGGAUCACAGCACAAGGCCUCAUCUCCACUUUGGAUUAACACCCAGUUUCAUUUAAAGUCAAAGUUUUUUUUUAAAAAAAGAAAGAAUAAAAAUUCUACUCAGAUUAUAUAUAUAAAGAACCAGCAAGCACAGUCCAAUGCAUGGCCUUCAAAAAUCCAAGGCAAUCAGCUGUGGCCUCCUCUAAAGUCCAAAGCUGACCUUGUGUCUCAUGGCAUUAAUUUACAACUCCAGAAUAAAAGAUAUAAAAGCCCAGGUGGUGCAGCUUUCCACAACACUGGGAUCUCUGAGCUAUACCUGUCAAUUAACCAUCAGUCUCCAGGGAGUUCAGAGGGAUCAGCUCACAUGCUGCCUAUCUGACAUUUCCUCCUGUAUCCUCCGUGUUGACAGGUUUCUCCUCAGUUCUUAACUGGUGUUUAACACAUGGCCUCCUACCAAGGCUGCAUUAAUGUCAGUCACCUCAGAGACUUAAGUUUUGGCCUUGCUCUCCAGUUCUCUUCUCCUUUGGGAACAUCAGCACACCAAACACACUUUAUGCACCAGCCCAUACACUUCCCCUCUUCACUCUUGGCCCAGAUUUUAAGUUCUACACUGCCAAGCUCUAUUUAAUUGGAACUGCGAACCACUCUUAUUUGGUAUUCUGUAAACCACUCUUAGAUCCUUGGGUAUAGGGCGGUAUAUAAAUUCAAUAAAUAAUAAAAAUACGGUGUACAUGCAACAGGCAGAUGUACAGACAGAGAGACUUGCAUACCCAGCCAGGAAGUAUGUCAAUGCAUCAGUAUGUGGAUGAUACCUAGUUCUACCUCUCUUUUAAAUCAGAACCAGUGAAGGCGGUGAAGGUCCUGUGUGAGUGUCUGGAGGCGGUUGGAGGAUGGAUGGCGGCUAACAGAUUGAGGUUGAAUCCUGACAAGACAGAAGUACUGUUUUUGGGGGACAGGAGGCGGGCAGGUGUGGAGGAUUCCCUGGUCCUGAAUGGGUAACUGUGCCCCUGAAGGACCAGGUGCACAGCCUGGGAGUCAUUUUGGACUCACAGCUGCCCAUGGAGGCACAGGUCAAAUCUGUGUCCAGGGCAGCUGUUUACCAGCUCCAUCUGGUACGUAGGCUGAGACCCUAUCUGCCUGCAGACUGUCUCGCCAGAGUGGUGCAUUGCUCUGGUUAUCUCCCGCUUGGACUACUGCAGUGCACUCUACGUGGGGCUACCUUUGAAGGUGACUCGGAAACCAGAACUAAUCCAGAAUGUGGCAGCUAGACUGGUGACUGGGGGCGGCCGCCGAGACCAUAUAACACCGGUCUUGAAAGACCUACAUUGGCUCCCAGUACGUUUCCGAGCACAAUUCAAAGUGUUGGUGCUGACCUUUAAAGCCCUAAACGGCCUCGGUCCAGUAUACCUGAAGGAGCGUCAGCGGCAUAGCGUGGGUUGUCAGCACCCGGGGCAAGGCAAGUAAUUUGCGGCCACUAACCCGUGGAUUGCGCCCCUAACCGCACGCCUGGCACCCCCCCUCCACAGUGGGCGGCGACCCGGCGGUGUGAUGGCCUGGGAUUCCGAUUCGGAGGAUGAAACAGAGGAAUCCCGGCCUGCACAGGAGUCCCCGCCUCCAGGGCCGGCUGAACUGGGGCAAGGCCUUGAUGCUGAAGAGCCUGCACCUGUGGCAGUGCAUCAGGAGCUGGCCCCAGGUGAAGCCCUUCGGGCCCCAGAGGGGCUUGAUGACUCAGUGGCCACAGGUGAGCCUCCUCCAGGGCCCAGUAACCCUUCGGCCUCUCCUGAUCUGCAGAGGCUUAGGGCAGAGAGGCGAAGGGAACUGGUUGCCCCCAGGAGGAGUGCUCGCCUUAAGGCCAGAGGAGGCGGGGCUCCUGGGGACCAGGACCGCCCCCUGGCCUUAGAAGAGGAUAAAAGCCCAGUCAGCCCCGGCCCCAGGUUGCGGGAGCAACGUCGUUGUUGGCUCCGGACCUUCCUGUGUUCCUGAUCCCUGCUCGGCUUCCUGUUCCUGACUAUCCGGUACUCCUGUUCCCUGCUCGGCCUCCUGUUCCCGACCAUCCGGUGUUCCUGUUCCCUGCACAGCCUCCUGUUCCAGCAUUCCUGUUCCCCGCCCGGCUCUCUGCCUCGGACCUUGCCCCUCUUCGUGUGGACUCUGCUACACCCAAGGUACCUUACCCCGGGACCAGCACAGUUUGCUCCCGCCCAACCCGCACUCCCCCUUCGUAGGGGUGCGUUCGGGAAGAGCCAGAGGCCAUGGCUGACCAGGCGGCUGCACUGGUGGCUUUGGCCCAGAAGAACCAGGCCUUGACUCACACCGUGCAGCAGCUCAGUGACGCGGUUGUGGCACUUCAGCAACGCUUGGAAGCCCUACCGGCUCCUGGGGCCGACGCCCGGCUCCUGGCAAGUACCCAGUGGCUUUGCCUGAGAAAUUUGAUGGAGCCCCGGCCAGCUUUCCCAUGUUCCUGGCCCAGGCCAAGCUGUAUAUUCAGGGGCGAGCCCGGAACUUUCCUGACGACCGCACCAAGGUGCACUUUUUGAUUAGUUUGUUAAAGGACCAUGCGGCCACCGUGGGCGUUGCCGCUACUCAGGCAAGACUCCCCCUUGCUGGCAGACUAUACGGGGUUUUGCAAUCGUUUGGAGGCCGCGUUCGGCAACCCCCAGAAAGGGAGUCAAGCCAACCGGGCGAUUCGGCGUUUGAAACAGGGCAAGUCCACGGUGGCCGCAUAUACCACGGAGUUUCGGCUGUUGGCACAGGACUUGACCUGGAAUGAUUCGGCACUGCGGGACCAGUAUCUCGAAGGGCUUUCGGACGAGGUACUGGACCAGUUGGCCACAAUGGAACGCCCCACCACGCUAGACACUCUCAUUCAACGGAGUCUACAAAUAGACGACCGGUUGGAGGAUCGUCGUCAGGCCCGGGGUCGCCGACACUUCCAGUUCACGGCACCAGCUUUUCCGGCAGCCCCACGGUCACAACAGAUAUAACGGAGGAGCCUCUGCAGCACGGGGCAGUGCGGCCACGCCUUUCCCCGCAGAGAAGGCGCGGCGUCGGGAGGAAAUCUCUGUCUUUACUGUGGCGGAAGUGGACACUUCGCUCGGUCUUGCCCUGAGAAACGCCAGCCGCAGGAAGCCGCCAACCCCAGUAGCUGAUGGCCCUAGCUGCCGGGGGUCCCAAACCGCGCAGAAUGGGCCUGCAUCAAUGGACUCGCAACAUCUUAUGGUUCCGGUACGUUUAUACCCUCCAGGUGGGCCCUGGAUCCCCACCCAUGCUUUGGUGGAUUCAGGGGCAACCCGCUCUUAUAUGGACGCUGCUUUUGCCGCCCAUCAUCAGGUGCCACUUCGGAACAAGCCAGUACCGGUCCAGGUGGAAGCGAUUGACGGACGACUUCUGUGUUCAGGUGCCGUUACUCAGGAGACCCAGCCCCUGGUCCUGUGUUUCCAGCAGCACCGGGAGUUGCGAACUUUGGACAUUGCCUCUAUGCCCCGCUUCCCCCUGGUGCUCGGGAUGGACUGGCUGGAAGCCCACAACGUUCAGAUUCACUGGGUCAAGCGGACCGUGCACUUCCCAGACCCAUGUUCCCAUGCUCAAUCCGGGACGCUGGCGGCCGCGCCUCAGAGGAGGCAGCACCCACGCUCCCAGCCGUGUAUCAGGACUACCAGGACGUGUUCGAGGAACGGGGGGCAGACCAGCUGCCGCCGCAUCGGCCUUUUGACUGCGGCAUAGACCUCCAACCCGGAGCGCCUCUACCAGUGAGUCGCUUAUAUUCUCUAACAGAGCCAGAGCGCGAGGCUUUGCAGGACUUCUUGCGCAAGAACCUGGAGCGUGGGUUCAUUAGGCCGUCCACCUCGCCUACCGCGGCACCAGUGCUUUUCGUUAAGAAGAAAUGUGGGGAACUCCGCCCUUGCCAUGAUUACCGAGCCUUGAACAAAAUUACCGUCCCAGACCGAUACCCCUUGCCCCUUAUCUCGGAGCUGCUGGAGCGGGUGCAAGGGGCACAGGUGUUCACCAAGCUGGACCUCCGGGGGGCCUACAACUUGAUUCGGAUCCGAGCCGGGGAUGAGUGGAAGACAGCGUUUGGGACCCGGUACGGGCAGUUCGAAUAUUUGGUUAUGCCUUUCGGGUUGUGCAACGCGCCUGCUGUGUUCCAACGCUACAUCAACCACGUGUUUCAGGACUUGUUAGACAAGUACGUGGUGGUGUAUUUGGAUGACAUACUGAUUUACUCCCGUGACCCGGCUCGCCAUGAGGGACAUGUCCGGACCGUGCUGCAGCGCUUGCGUGAGCACCGUUUGUACGCAAAGCUCAGCAAGUGCGAGUUCCAUCAGCGGACUGUGGACUUCCUUGGUCACCGGCUCUCUCCGGAUGGGGUGCAAAUGGACCCGGGGAAGGUGACAGCGGUUCAAGAAUGGGCGGCACCCCGGAACCGCAAGGACCUACAACGUUUCCUGGGGUUCGCCAAUUACUACCGGACCUUCAUCGCUGAUUAUGCUCAUCGCACCACCCCGUUGACCCGGCUACUGCGCCCAAAGACGCCGUUUUCCUGGGACAAGGAGGCAGAGGAGGCGUUUCAGGGGUUGAAGGCCUGUUUCCAGAGGGCACCAAUCUUACAACAUCCUGACCCCUCUCGACCCUUUGUGGUGGAGACCGACGCCUCCAGUACGGCUCUCGGUGCCGUCUUGUCUCAACAGAUUGGGCCCGAAGCGCCACUCUUACCCUGUGCCUUCUAUUCCCGCCAGCUCCUACCAGCGGAGCGUAACUAUACUGUGUGGGAGCGGGAACUACUGGCCAUCAAGGUAGCCUUUGAGGUCUGGCGCCACCAUCUUGAGGGGGCACGACAUCCGGUGGAGGUAAGAACCGACCACCGGAACCUGGAGUACCUCCAGACCACCCGCAAGCUGAACCAAAGACAGAUCCGGUGGGCGUUGUUCUUUUCCGGUUCCAGUUUCGGAUCCGCUACAUCCCUAGCUCUCAGAAUCUGAAGGCGGAUGCCCUGUCCCGGAAACCUGAAGACAACGCAGACACGGUACAGCAAGCAGAACCCGCCACGAUCCUACCUCCGGCCGCAUUCCUGGCCACCCAGGAGGCGCAGCCACUGCAGGUUCGGGUGCGGGAACAGCAGCGGGUCGGCGCUUGGGCCCAGGAGCGACUCCGGGAGCUGGCUGAAGGGUCCAGCCCACAGUAUCCGGGGCUGGUCCUGCAUCAGGGCCUCCUGCUGCACCACGGUCGUCUGUACAUCCCGCCAGGGCCACUGCGGCUGGAGGUUCUCCGGAUGGCCCAUGAUGCCCCGGCAGCGGGGCACUUUGGACGGUAUCGGACCACCCAUCUGGUCAGUCGUGAGUUUUGGUGGCCCCGCCUGAAGGCUGACGUGGCUCGCUACGUUGCUGGUUGUGAUGUCUGCCGACGCGCCAAGGGGCCUACCGGGCGACCCCCGGCCUACUUCAGCCAUUGCCAGUUCCACCGCGCCCUUGGCACACAGUUUCGUUGGACUUUGUAGUGGACUUACCCUCGUCUCGUGGCUGUACCUGCCUUCUGGUUUUCUCCGACCAUUUCACCAAGAUGGUGCACUGCGCUCCCUGUCCAUCUGUACCCACAGCCAAGGAAACUGCUCAGCUGUACCUUCAGCAUGUCUUCCGCCUGCAUGGACUACCUGAGCGCGUGGUGUCCGACCGGGGCGUUCAGUUCACAUCCCGGUUCUGGCGAGCAUUACACCAGACCCUCGGGACAGAGGUCUGCCUCUCGUCAGCCUACCACCCACAGACCGAUGGCCAGACGGAACGGGCGAACGCGGUGCUGGGCAGUACCUCCGGUGUUACUGCAGCUACCAGCAGGAUGACUGGGUCGACCACCUGGCAUUGGCGGAGUUCGCCUAUAACAACGCGGUGAAUGCGUCCACCCAGCAGACCCCGUUCCAGGCCAGUUAUGGUUAUCAUCCACGGCUGUUUCCAGAGGUGCUGCCGGCAUCCGCGGUCCCGGCGGUGACGGAGUGGCUUCAAGAGCUCCAGUCCCAGCAACAGCUUUUGGUGGAGCAACUGCACCAGGCCAAGGAAGCGUACAAAGCCCAGGCCGACCGCCACCGCCAGGUGGGGCCGGAACCGCGUCGGUGACCUGGUUUGGCUCUCCACUCGCCACCUCCACCCCUCUCGACCUUCGCGGAAGUUGGACGCCCGCUUCACCGGCCCGUUCCCUAUCGUAGACCAAAUCUCUCCUGUGGCAUUCCGUCUCCGGUUACCCGCAACCCUGAAGGUUCACCCGGUCUUCCACAGGUCCCUUUUGAGUCCGGUGGCCCCACCCGGCGAGUUCCACCAGAACCGUCCCCGACCGCAGCCAGUGUUGGUUCGGGGAGAGCCUGAGUACGAGGUGGAACGCAUCCUGGACUCCCGAUACCGCAGGGAAAGCUGCAGUAUCUCAUUGACUGGAAGGGGUACGGACCGGAGGACCGUUCCUGGGAACCAGCGGCCAAGGGCCAUGCACCUGCCUGCCUCCGAGAGUUCCAUGCGCCGUAUCCCGGCAAGCCGGGUCCGGCCCCUCGGUGGCGGGGGGGGGCCGGGGAGGGGGGAUGGUGUGAUGGCCUGGGAUUCCGAUUCGGAGGAUGAAACAGAGGAAUCCCGGCCUGCACAGGAGUCCCCGCCUCCAGGGCCGGCUGAACUGGGGCAAGGCCUUGAUGCUGAAGAGCCUGCACCUGUGGCAGUGCAUCAGGAGCUGGCCCCAGGUGAAGCCCUUCGGGCCCCAGAGGGGCUUGAUGACUCAGUGGCCACAGGUGAGCCUCCUCCAGGGCCCAGUAACCCUUCGGCCUCUCCUGAUCUGCAGAGGCUUAGGGCAGAGAGGCGAAGGGAACUGGUUGCCCCCAGGAGGAGUGCUCGCCUUAAGGCCAGAGGAGGCGGGGCUCCUGGGGACCGGGACCGCCCCUGGCCUUAGAAGAGGAUAAAAGCCCAGUCAGCCCGGCCCCAGGUUGCGGGAGCAACGUCGUUGUUGGCUCGGACCUUCCUGUGUUCCUGAUCCCUGCUCGGCUUCCUGUUCCUGACUAUCCGGUACUCCUGUUCCCUGCUCGGCCUCCUGUUCCCGACCAUCCGGUGUUCCUGUUCCCUGCACAGCCUCCUGUUCCAGCAUUCCUGUUCCCCGCCCGGCUCUCUGCCUCGGACCUUGCCCCUCUUCGUGUGGACUCUGCUACACCCAAGGUACCUUACCCCCGGGACCAGCACAGGCGGCUCAGAUCGGAUUCGCACAGCCAGCACUGCAGUGAGAGAGAGGGAGUGAGCCAGGUAGGGGCAGAGAGCUGCGAGUGCGAGUGCCCCCCCAGAUGUUGCGCCCGGUGCGGCCGGCACCCCCUGCACCCACCACGCUACGCCACUGAGGAGCGUCUCCACCCCCAUCGUUCUGCCCGGACGCUGAGGUCCAGUGCCGAGGGCCUUCUGGCGGUUCCCUCAUUGCGAGAAGCAAAGCUACAGGGAACCAGGCAGAGGGCCUUCUCGGUAGUGGCGCCCGCCCUGUGGAACGCCCUUCCAGCAGAUGUCAAAGCAAUAAACAACUACCUGACAUUCAGAAGACAUCUUAAGGCAGCCCUGUUCAGGGAAGUUUUUAACGUGUGAUAUUUUACUGUAUUUUUGGUUUCUAUGGAAGCCGCCCAGAGUGGCUGGGGAGGCCCAGCCAGAUGGGCGGGGUAUAAAUAAAUUAUUAUUAUUAUUAUUAUUAUUAUUAUUAUUAUUAUUAUUAUUUGAGGACAGGCCCAUUCAUUCCAUUCAUGCAAUUCAGGUGGCUUCCAACAUUUCCACAUGUGACAGUAGAGAAGUGGUGAAAAGUAGAAAAGUGAAGGAAUGCCCACCACAUUUCAGGAUGGAGGUCUUCUGAUUCUGGUCUACCUGUUAAAAUAAUUCACACUUCAUAGGAACACAGGAAAAUGCCUUAUACCAAAUCAGACCAGUGUCCCAUCAAAGUCAGCAUUGUCUCCACUCGCUGGCAGUGGCUCUCUAGGGUUUCAGACAGGAGGUCUCUCUCCCAGCCCUACUAGGAGAUGCCGGGGAUUUGAGCUGCACCCCUUCUGGUGUGUGUGCAUCUGCUCCACCCCUACUGGCCAUUCUUCCCUUCAACUGUAGUGUUGUGGUCCAUAACUGGGUUGCUCCCUCAUCCACACUGGACUUCCUUAGUUUCCAGGAACUCCUCCCUCCAUCUUCAGCCCACAGUGCACCAAAUUAUCAAGGGGCUCUGAGUCUUCUGGAGUGGUUAGAAGAGGAAAAAGAAUGUGAACUUUAUUACUGGAGGAUGAAGAACUGAAAUUCAGAGGAUGCCAUUAGCUGUGAUUCUUGCAUUGCAUGGGGUUGAUGACCCUUGGGGUCCCUUCCAACUCUAGAAUUCUAUGAUUCUGUGUUUUCUGCCAAACUCUUUAAUGCUCAGAUUAAGGCAGAAUAAGGUUCAAAGGCAUGAGCAGUGCUAGGCAUGGGCAAGCAAGCUAAGAUGUUGAUUCCACCAGGGUCCUGCUCCCUUGUGUCCCCUUUAGCACAGCAACUUGAGCAAGCUGGACAUCUCUAUGACACUGGUGAUGGAGAAGCUAUCAGUGGUAGAUCCAAGCCAUGCUUGUUGGUUAACUCCUCUUGAGAGGAGUGGUUAGGAGUAGGCUUUUGAUUCAGAGAUAAAUGAAUUGUCAUCUCAUCUGUCCUCCCUGUUGAACGACGUGGCCCAGGGAGAGAGGGAAAAAUAGUGGAAGUGAACAGCUGGCUUUACAAAUGGUGUAAACAGGAACGGUUUGGAUUCUUAGAUCACGGACUGCAGUUUCUUGAAGAUGGACUUCUGGCAAGCGAUGGGCUGCACCUCACAACGGUUGGGAGGAAUGUUUUUGCCAAAAUCUCAGAAACCUCAUCAGGAGGGCUUUAAACUGACUAAUGUGGGGAGGGAGACAGUGCUCCUGAAGGUAGGAGUCUAUCAAUUGAUGAAGAUGAUCAUCCAAAUGUCAUAGACCAAAUGGAGCAAACAGCACACAGACCUAGUGGUGGGAGGAAAAAUCCUUAAAUAAGAGUCACGGGGAAUGAUUAAUGGACUUCAAUGUCUGUACACUAAUGCGCAAAGCAUGGGAAAUAAACAAGAUGAGCUUGAGCUCUUGGUACAGCAAACUAAAUAUGACAUAAUAGGCAUCACUGAAACCUGGUGGGAUAAGUCCCACGAUUGGAAUGUAAUAAUGGAGGAACACAAUCUAUUUCAGAGAAACAGACCAGACAAGAAAGGAGGAGGAGUGGCGUUAUAUGUCAGGGAUGUGUAUAACUGUGAAGAGAUCCAAGAUUUAGAACCUCAAAGCCAAAGGGAGAGCAUUUGGGUUAAAAUUAAGGGAGAGAAGAAUAACAGUGACCUCAUUGUGGGAGUUUACUAUAGAUCCCCAAGCCAAACGGAGGACAUAGAUGAUGCCUUCCUGGAACAGAUGGCCAAGCAUGCAAAAGGAAGGGAGAUAGUAGUAAUGGGGGACUUCAAUUACCCGGAUAUUUGUUGGAUGUCAAACUCAGCCAAGAGCAUAAGGUCAAACAGAUUCCUCACUGGCCUUGCAGACAACUUCAUUGUCCAGAAAGUGGAAGAAGCAACAAGAGGAACCGCCAUUUUAGAUCUGGUCCUAACCAGUGUUGAUGACCUGGUUAGUGGGGUAGAAGUGAAAGGAUCAUUAGGCGCGAGUGAUCAUGCUCUUCUGAAGUUUACUAUAAGGCAGAAAGGAGCAGCCAAGCAUACUAGGACUCAAUUUCUUGACUUUAAGAAAGCCGACUUCAUAAAACUUAGGGAAGUGCUGGGUGAGAUCCCAUGGACAGUAAUACUAAAAGGAAAGGGAGUUCAUGAUGGCUGGGAGUUUGUUAAGAGGGAGAUAGUAAAAGCACAACUUCAGGCAAUACCAAUGAGACGGAAACAUGGAAGGUGCCUAAAGAAGCCAGGGUGGCUAUCUAAAGAACUUUUAACUGAGUUAAGAUUAAAAAGGAUGUGUACAAAAAAUGGAAAAGGGGGGAAACCACCAAAGAGGAAUUCAAACAAAUAGCCAGCACGUGUAGACACAAAGUCAGAAAAGCUAAAGCACAGAAUGAACUCAGGCUUGCUAGAGAGGUUAAAAGCAACAAAAAAGGCUUUUAUGGGUAUGUUCGUAGCAAAAGGAAGAACAAAGAAACAGUGGGGUCACUCAGAGGAGAAGAUGGUGAAAUGCAAACAGGGGACACAGAAAGGGCUGAACUCCUCAAUGCCUUCUUUGCCUCAGUCUUCUCCGAUAAAGAAAACAAUGCCCAACCUGAAGAAUUUGGAGCAAAUGAUUCAGCAGAGGAAACACAGCCCAGAACAACUAAGGAGAUAGUACAAGAAUACUUGGCUAGUUUAGAUGUAUUCAAGUCUCCAGGGCCAGAUGAACUGCAUCCAAGAGUAUUAAAAGAACUGGCAGAUGUGAUCUCAGAACCACUGGCAGUCAUCUUUGAGAAUUCCUGGAGAACAGGCGAAGUCCCGGCAGACUGGAGGAGGGCAAAUGUUGUCCCUAUUUUCAAAAAGGGGGAAAGAGAGGACCCAAAUAAUUACCGCCCAGUCAGUCUGACAUCAGUACCAGGGAAGAUUCUGGAGCAGAUCAUUAAGCAAACAGUCUGUGAGCACCUAGAAAGGAAUGCUGUGAUCACCAAUAGUCAGCAUGGAUUUCUGAAAAAUAAGUCAUGUCAGACUAACCUGAUCUCGUUUUUUGACAGAAUUACAAGCCUGGUAGAUGAAGGGAACGCAGUGGAUGUAGCCUACCUUGAUUUCAGCAAGGCAUUUGACAAGGUGCCCCAUGAUAUUCUUGUAAAGAAGCUGGUAAAAUGCGGUCUUGACUAUGCUACCACUCAGUGGAUUUGUAACUGGCUGACUGACCGAACCCAAAGGGUGCUCAUCAAUGGUUCCUCUUCAUCCUGGAGAAGAGUGACUAGUGGGGUGCCACAGGGUUCUGUCUUGGGCCUGGUCUUAUUCAACAUCUUUAUCAAUGACUUGGAUGAUGGACUCAAGGGCAUCCUGAUCAAAUUUGCAGAUGACACCAAACUGGGAGCGGUGGCUAACACCCCAGAGGACAGGAUCACACUUCAAAACGACCUUGACAGAUUAGAGAACUGGGCCAAAACAAACAAGAUGAAUUUUAACAGGGAGAAAUGUAAAGUAUUGCACUUGGGCAAAAAAAAUGAGAGGCACAAAUACAAGAUGGUGGACACCUGGCUUGAGAGCAGUACAUGUGAAAAGGAUCUAUGAGUCUUGGUUGACCACAAACUUGACAUGAGCCAACAGUGUGAUGCGGCAGCUAAAAAAGCCAAUGCAAUUCUGGGCCUCAUCAAUAGGAGUAUAGCAUCUAGAUCAAGGGAAGUAAUAGUGCCACUGUAUUCUGCUCUGGUCAGACCUCACUUGGAGUACUGUGUCCAGUUCUGGGCACCACAGUUCAAGAAGGACACUGACAAACUGGUUAAGGGGUGAUAUGAUAGCCAUGUUCAAAUAUAUAAAAGGAUGUCACAUAGAGGAGGGAGAAAGGUUGUUUUCUGCUGCUCCAGAGAAGCGGACACGGAGCAAUGGAUCCAAACUACAAGAAAGAAGAUUCCACCUAAACAUUAGGAAGAACUUCCUGACAGUAAGAGCUGUUCGACAGUGGAAUUUGCUGCCAAGGAGUGUGGUGGAGUCUCCUUCUUUGGAGGUCUUUAUGCAGAGGCUUGACAACCAUAUGUCAGGAGUGCUCUGAUGGUGUUUCCUGCUUGGCAGGGGGUUGGACUCGAUGGCCCUUGUGGUCUCUUCCAACUCUAUGAUUCUAUGAUUCUAAGAUUGCCAGUGAAUAGCUCCUCCCACUCCCCAGUGUUUCCCCAGGACACUCGUGGGAUCCGUCUGAGCCAUUAAGGGAGAUGUCUUUCAUGGAGGAGAGGGUUAUUCGUGCAGGAAAGGACUUUCAAUGGGUUUUUGGGUAACAGUUGCUGGAAAGCACAGAAAGGAAGCGUUCCUGUUGUCUCACAAGCAUCUGGCUGACCUCAGGGAGACUAGGAUGUCAGAAUAGAUGGGCCACUCAUCUGAUCCUGCAGGCUUUUCUUAUGAUCUUAAGCCAUUUGCAGUUUUUCUAAGCUAGGCUUAUAGAGCCUACAUGGGAAGCAGGCAUUGCUCGUGUUUCCUCUCUCCACAAAAUAAAAAAUAAAAAGUCCUGGGAUUCCACCAGUUACCGUAUUUUUCGCUCUAUAACACGCACCCGACCAUAACAUGCACGUAGUUUUUAGAGGAGGAAAACAAGAAAAAAAAUAUUCUAAACGAAACAGUGGAUGUAUGAUUUUUGUGGUUCAUGCUGUGGCCACAGACAUGUGAUCUGACAGUGAGUUUGGAGUAGCCCAAUGCAAAAAUCCUGAGGAUCCAUGUGGAUCCGUGCUUUGUAACCACGUUUUUGCACCACUGCGGCCCCAGGCAACAGUGGGUGCGUGAUUUUUUUCGUGCAAGAUGUAGCCAUGGACAUGCUAUGUGAUCUGAUGGUGAAUUUGGGGUGACCCAGUGCAAAAAUCCUGAGGAUCCAUGUGGAUCCAUGCUUUGUAACCACUUUUUAAGUGGGGAGGGAAGGAAAAGCACUCAAGGGACAAGGAGCACGCGUGGGGUGUGUGGAGAAGGAUGCUGCUAAUAAUGAAGAAGAGGGGUAUAAGGGGAGAAGGCUCCUCUCCCGCUUUGCUCCUUUAAAGAAUCAGGCUCUCUGUCCCUCUCUCCUCCCCACUCAGCGGCUCUUCUCCCACUUUGCUGUUUCAAAGCGAGCCACGGAGGAGGGAAGGAAGGGGAACCAUGGAUCCUCUGCUCAUGACUGCAGCAGAUCCCCCCGCCAUCCGUAGGCAUUCCCUCCAUAACACGCACAGACAUUUCCCCUUACUUUCUAGGAGGAAAAAAGUGAGUGUUAUGGUGCAAAAAAUACGGUAUCUUUCUGUACGGCACCACUUCUGCUUCUUACCACUUCUGACCACCACGCCCACAAAAGAGAGAGGCAAGAGAAACAACAGAUCAAUGCUUUAAGUUAUGAAAUUGCUGGUCAAUGAGCAGAUGGCUAGUAUCACAUUGCAGAGCAAACAAACACCGCAUUCCCUCAUUUAUCUCUGAAUCAAAAGCCUCUGUCUAACAGUGGGAUUCCUGCCGUACCAGCUGCCUCACCAGACCUCCAUUGUGGGCAGGAGCACAAGUUCACAAGCUCACUCAAAAAAGACGAUUUAUCUUUCCCUACCAAGCAGGCUAUUGCUAUACCUUUUGUUAUAUCAACAUGAUGCCACGGGAAGGGCAGGACAUGCUGCAGAGACUCACCAAGCACACGGAGUCAGAGGACCACGGCUUCCAAGUUCCCUUGGGCGCCAUAGUCAUGAGGUCUAGGAACAUGCCUUAAAAUUAAACAUAGCUGAGGCUCCGUGGCAGAGCCCGCUCAUGGGGUGGGGUGAAACACCCAGCUCAGAUGGCAGAAGUGCAACAGGCCCACCUCAUUUCUUCUGCCCCUACUGGAACACCCCCUGUCAUGGGUGACAGGGAGGCAUUCUGGUGCACACUACUGCCAGCCAUCUUCUCUGCCCUUGGGCAAAGGAGCUGAGUGACAACGCUUUGCAGAAUACCCUUUUUCUGCUGAGUUUGACAAGAGCUGGGGUAUUCCAGUGGCAGAAGGGGGAGGCACAGUGGUAGCAGCGGAGAAUGCGUCUGUGGUAGAGGAAGGAGGAGGUGAUUCCCAUUUGGCCUCAGGUGGCAAACUGGACAUGCUGCUCCUGCUCCAUGGGGUAUUUUUGGCACACCAAAAGGACUAGGAUCAACCUGUGGCAUUUCCUGUUAGGAGUGCUGUAACAGAUCAGAUGCAAAAAUGUAGGAGGGGGGGAAGCAGUACGUGUGAAAAUGGUCUAGAGCUUUUAGUGCACCACAAGCUUAUCACGAGUCAACCAGGUGAUGCAGCAGCCAAAAAAAGAUAAUGCAACUCUAGACUGCGUCAAGAGAAGCAUAGUGUCCAGAUCAAGGGAAGCCAUAGUAUUGCUCUCUUCUGCUUUGGUCAGACCACACCUGGAGUCCUGUGUCCAGUUCUGGGCAGCACAAUUAAAGAAGGAUAUUGACAUGCUUGGAACAUGAGCAGAGGAAGGCGACCAAGAUGAUCAAGGGGCUGGAAACCAAAUCUUAUGAGGAACAGUUGAAGGAGUUGCAGGUGUUUAGCUUGGAGAAGAAAAGACUGAGAGUUGAUAUGAUAGCCAUAAAAGGCUGUCACACGAAAGAAGGAGCAAACUUGUUUUCUGCUGCUCCAGAGCAUAGGACCUGAACCAAUGGAUUCCAGUGACAAUAAAAGCAAUUCCAACAAAACUUUAGGAAAAAACUUUAUAAUGGUAAGAGCUGUUUGACAGUAGAAUUGACUACCUCAGAAGGUGGUGGACUCUCAAUCACUGGAGGUUUUUAAACAGAGGUUGGAUGGCCAUCUGUCAGGGAUGCUGUAGCUGGGAUUCCUGUAUUGUAGGAGAUUUGACAAGAUGACCCUUGGGCCCUUCCAACUCUGAAACUCUACAAACAUGUGAGGGGCCACAGGUUUCACACCCCUUGAUCUAAACAUCCUGCCUUCUCUUCUUUCUGACUGGAAAUCAAUGAAUCAUCUAGUCUGGGGGCCUUGAAAAGGACAAGGUGGAAAUGAUAUUGGGAAGUGUGCUCCAAAUGUCCCAACUCCAAGAGAAUGCCUCACGACCACCAGACUUGAUGCCUUCAAUCCCUGUAUUGGAAGGGCUGAGUCACAUCAUUCAGCAGCUGGCUCCUCAUUUCUUUGGCAAGACUGUUGUAGCUUGUGGUCACCAAUCCAAAUGGAGCUCUUGAGACAGGUGACCACAUGUCAAUAGCCUGAGUGUGACUUUGUGAAAAAACAAAAACAAAAACAAAAGCAGAACAGAACAGAACAACCACCUCUCUUAACAGCCAUCCCUUAUUGUUUAUUCUUAGCUAUCCCUUGUUGUUUGUACUGUCACUGCUUGGUGUAAUACCACUGUAAUGUAAUAGCAGAGUGUUGAACUUGCUUCAUUCCACAGCCCAACACCCUGUUAUCCAUCACACAUUAAAUCACAUCCUUUGAUCCAUGGGGCUCCCAAAAUUUCUAAUAUUGAAAAGCACCAGCCAUUUGUGAGAUAUUGGACUUAAGCACAGUGGCUCUCUAUGGUAUAAAAAAGGGGUUUUAGAGAAUUGUCUAUGCUUCAGUCUUUUCUUUCUUUAUAAAAUGCUUAUUUCUCUGACUAUUCUUGAACAUGGUAACUAAGGAAACCUGUAUUUAUAGUUGGUGCUUGGUGAUGAAUGAUAUCAAUAAAAACAAAAAUUAAACUUUUGUUCGAGAUCAGCUGCUUCAAAUAGCUUUCCUGUGAACUGGGCCAUAACAGAAGGAACAGAAUGAUAAAAGAGAAAGAGAGGGGAAUUGCACUGGUGCUGUGCUGGGGCUAAGGAUACUUACAAAUUUCUGGCCUCUUGGUUUUUUUUUUAAAAAGGGAGAAAGGCUUUUGCUCAGAGGUUGAGCACAUGCAUUGCUUGCAGAAGGUUCCAGAUUCAAUCCCUGGCAUCAUAAAAACACAAGAGGACCAUGUUGGGUUGUGUCAAAGAACAAUCUAGACCAGUAUCUCAUACCUGCCAACCAUCCUGCUUUGAAUAGGACAUCCCAGAUUGACAGAAGCUGCACCAGUGUCUGAUGUCCAUCCUAGAUGUCCUGCUUCCUCCUCCAUGAGACCUCCACCAAGGCUGCUGGCGUACUUCAGGAAGCUGGCUGCAUUUCUCAAAAUGCCCUUCCAGAAGUGUGGUGCUGGCUACAGUGGACCUGGCAGAGGAAUCCUGGGCAGCAGAGAGCCGGCAAAGGCUCCUCCAAUGGUGGAGGCAGAACAUAGUCAUUAUGGCUGUUGGCCAGGGGUAGCCUCAUCCUCCAUGACUGUGUCUAACCCUUAAAAAAACACCUUCCAAGUUGUUGGUGACCAUCUCUGACUCCUAUGAGAAUCCACACAUAAGGACUAGGCAACACUCCUGUGUGCAAUCAUGGAGGGUCACUGUCAUUCUCACUUCAUCCAGACAAUAAUGCAGUAUCAUUUCUUUAUUUAGGCUGCAAUAAUAGGGUCCCUGGCAAAGCAUUCCAGAGGCCCUUCACCGACGUUCAGAAGGGAGAUCUGAUGCCAAAUUCCCCCCUCCCCACCAGGCAGUGGUGUAGGAAGGUGUGUGUGUGUGUGUGGUCUGACCCGGGUGUCAUCACUGAGGGUGGGGUGACACAAAAUAACUCCCGCACCCACCACAGGCCCCUUCCCACACCACUGCAGGAGCCCUCUCCCCUCGCCUGGUUUCCAGAAACCAGAAGCAUUGCUGCCUCCAACUUUGCAGGCAGAGCACAGCCUUUAUGGCUAGUAGCCUUUGACAGCCCUCUCCUCCAUGAAUCUGCCUAAGCUGCCUCCUCCUCCCUGUCUCCCUCCCCGGCUCACUUUGGCACUCACUUCCUCUCCACGGAGGAAAGCCGCUUCCCUCUGCAACCAGGAGGGUCCCUGUGCGGCCAGCUGGGCAGAGAGUGAGGUUCCCCCUGGAGGCCAGGAGAGGUGGUGGGGAUCUUCCUGCCAGGUUUCAGCCACCUGGAAGGUUUCCAAGGCUUGAUCGGGUUGAAAUGGGCUGAGGCUACUUGGGACAGGUUUCCAUGAGGGCUGCUUUUCUGGUAUUGUCAGGGGCGGUGUGGGAGUGAGUGGGUUGCUCUGGGUUUUAUGACUGCAUGGUGGAAGCUGCCUUUGGAGGCUCGUUGCCCUAAAAAGCAGCUUUUGAAUUUCUGCAAUAAGCCAGAAACCCACCAGCCGGCCCCAUUUCUUCCCCUCUCCAUAAGCGGGCUGCAUUCCUCUCACCAGCAUCAGCAUACGUCCAGCCACAGUCCAGCCUCUGACUGCUAUGGUAGGGCAAGAGCAAGAGCAAUGGGGGGGGAGGGCUCGGGGAAUUGAGGGGAAAGCAUUUGGAGAUCCACACUUAGGUGAGCAUGAAGGCAGAGGCACAGCUAGGUGAGGCAGGGGGGCAUCACACCGCGGGGACUGCAGCAUGCCUGAGCCAUGCAUCUCUCCUGAGGGGGAGGCAGCGCGCAGACUGCCUGCCUGCCUGCAAGCUCCGCGCUGCUGUUUUGAGCAGCGUGGGCUUGCGUCUGCCUGCCUCAGCCGCCCUACAGCCGAGGGGGAGGCUGCAGAGAGGCUCCACGCAGCGUGCCCUGGCUUGGCUUGCUCCACCCCCAUGGGUAGUUUGCCCCUGGCUGCAAGGCAGGCGUGCUGCCCCAGGCACCCAAGCGGCUAGCUAUGCUGUUGCCACCAGGCACAUCUGAUGUUUUGGCCCUAAUAGCAUAAGAGCUCUGAUGCAAUAGAUUUGACUGGCUAGUUAAAUACCAUCAUUUAACAUUUCCAAAGAAGCUCUGUGCCAUGGAAGUAAAUGGAUGGGCCUCUCAGAACAAUAGGAGAAUUUGUUGUUCGGGUGAGGGGGGGGGGAGUGAGAGAGAUGGAAGAUGGAAGCUGGAAACUGUAAGCUGGAAACAGAAGACAUACCACCUUGCUCCAUGCUGGAUAUAAAGCUGUGGCGAAUGUUAAUGCUGCGAGUCCCACCAUCCUAUGCUUAGGUUGUGUAUAUGUGAAAAUAAAGCCAUAUAUAACUAAAGCCAAAGACAUGACAAGCAUCAUUGACCAUAAUUCCAAGGAAACUGAGCCCUGCAUAGGAGCAGGAACCCCUGGAGUUUUUUCCUGCUCAGAGACUGGGGAUAGCAUGUAACAAUAUGCUAAUAGUACAAAACACACAAUGCAUUUAAAACAUAUAGAACUUAAGAUAGCAUGAGAAUACAAAAGUCUGCACAGCACAAUCAUAGUAAUACAAUAGAAAGAGAAUAAAACUUAAAUUCCAUUUUAAGUGCCUUUUGACUUUUUUUUUUAAGAAGGCCGAAAAUUUUGGGAGUAUAAGAGCCAAAGCAAUGCAUAUAUUAGGAUACAGUGGUCAGAAAAAUGCACACAUUUUAGAAUAAAUAACAUGCAGAAAUGCCCUAUAUUGGCGGAAAAUACUUUUUUUGAAAAUGUGUAUAUUAGGCAAAAUUGCAUACAACAAUGUGCAUAUUAGGAGGAUUUUGCACCAAAAUUCUGAUGAAGUUUCAUGAGCACUUGAAAAAGAAAAUUGCAAACUGAUGUAGAAAUAUGGAGAACUGAACUUAAGUUGGGGAGGGGCAGUGAGAGAAAUGGUUUUCAUGCAUUCAACAUGAACACUAGAAAGAGAGUCCAAAUAGUUUUGAAGUGAGUGACAGAGGAGGCUGAAAAAUCUUGCCGGAGCCCCAGAUCUCAAAGUUGAAGCAACUGUGUCUCCAACAUGGCCAGCACCACCAAACCUUCUGCACGCUCUUGGUCUCUAGCUCCCAUCAUUGUCAGUUAGCCUAGUCAAGGUCCACGGAUGACUGAAUCACACAGCAGAUGGAGGUCAUGGUGUUGGCUAACCCUCCUCUGUGUAGGAGACACCCAGCUCCACCCUCUAACCUUGCAAGAGGCGGGAGCCAAGUUUCAUUGCUUAAUUGCUUAAAUGAUAAUAGAUGAUGACUUAAUUGGCCAUUCUUUAAGUAAUGUUAUUGACAGUAGUUACAUUGCAAUUAUACUAUAGUUAUGCUUUUUAAAUAGCAGCAUUUAGAACAAUUACACCUUAAUGCUUGUUGUUAGAUAUCUCCAAUUGCACAAAUGUGCUAAUCCUCCACAAACAAUGGAGGCAGUUAGUGUGAGGUUGUGUGAAUCAGGGACAAACACAGCAAAAAGCAGAGCACAUGGCCUAAAUGCAUAGUAAAGCACACUAUAACCAUCAAACGCUGUACAGCACAAUGAGACUGUGACCAAAACAACAGAUUAUGCUCAGCUAUUAGAAUGAAGAAGAAGGGGUGGGAGGGAAAAGAAAUACAGCCUAGCCCAAGAAUAUAGCAAUUUGUUCAAUGAUUUUGCUCAUGUAAGACACGCCACAGAGGAGCAGGAAUCAAGAUAUGAGGAAUCUUUUCUCAGAUGGCAGAGCACAGCCAAAUACUGAGCAAGUUAUGAUAAGCCGCCUCAGAAUGGAAAGUCUCUCCUAUCACACCACUGGAUUAUGCAAUUCAUUUGCUUUGCCUGUUAUAAACUCAUUUGUUUUGUGGCCCCUUGAAAGGUCUCUUUUCACACUUUGGACAGUGGUGUAGCAAGGCCAGGUGGUACCCGGUGCGGAAUUUUUUUGUCACCCCCCCAAUACUGAAAUUGAAAUCUAUCAAAUAAAACUAUGCAGGUGAUCAUGAUGCAGAUCCCGCCUUCUCCCCCUCCCUCCCUCCACCCCCCUCCGUCAAAGAAAGCCAUGCAGGUGAUACUGUUACUGGUCCUGAUCCUGCCUUGCCUCGUCAGAGACACGGCUCAUUCUUGCCUCCCUCCUCUCCUCUCCUCUCCACCCCUAAACCAGCGUGUGAUCUAUCUCUCUCUCUCUCUCUCUCUCUCUCUCUCUCUCUCUCCCUCUCUCUCCUCAAACCAGCUGGGCUGCGGAGCUCUCCUAGGCACCACUUCUCCUCCCCACCCCCCACCCCAAACCAGCAAGACUGCUUGAGCACAUAACACAAUUCCUGGCCUAACUACACUGGCUACCAGUUAGUUUCCAAGCCCAAUUCAAAGUGCUGCUUUUGACCUAUAAAGCCGUAUGCAGUUCAGGACCCCAGUAAAGGUAAAGGUAAAGGGACCCCUGACCAUUAGGUCCAGUCGUGACCAACUCUGGGGUUUGCGGCGCUCAUCUCGCUUUAUUGGCUGUGGGAGCCGGCGUACAGCUUCCGGGUCAUGUGGCCAGCAUGACUAAGCUGCUUCUGGCAAACCAGAACAGCGCACAGAAACUCUGUUUACCUUCCCGCCGGAGCGGUACCUAUUUAUCUACUUGCACUUUGACGUGCUUUUGAACUGCUAGGUUGGCAGGAGCUGGGACCGAGCAACGAGCAGUGGGGAUUCAAACCGCCGACCUUCUGAUCAGCAGGUCCUAGGCUUUGUGGUUUAACCCAAGGACCCCAGUACUGUACCUCAAAGACCACCUCUGCCCAUAUAAAGCACCCUGGACCUGGCUUUCAUCAUCUGGAAGAUCUGGAGGGUGAUGAUGUGAAAAUGGACCUUUCCAUUUUGUGGACUCCCUGUUUGUGGAAUGUUCUGGCACCAUCAUUAUAUAAAAAUCAUUUUUAACAAGGCCUUUGCCUCUUAAUUAUCUUUGGCCUUGAGUGGGUGGAAUAUUUUAAUCCCGUCUUUUAAAAAUAGGAUUUUCCUUUAGGGUUUUUAUUUUUCCAUUUAUGCUGGUUUCAAUGUAUGUAUGUGUUUGUAUGUACAUAUAUUGAAAGUUGCUUUGAAUUACCUUGGUAAAAAACCUAAUAAAUUUAAAUAAUAGUAAUAAUACACUACGUCUUUUUGAAACGAAUGAUACAGAGCACACUUAAAUACUGUGCUAAGCUAACUGUCCCAGAACCAUGUACUCCCUCAAGAAGAAGAAGAAGAGUUUGGAUUUGAUAUCCCGCCUUUCACUCCCUUUAAGGAGUCUCAAAGCGGCUCACAUUCUCCUUUCCCUUCCUCCCCACAACAAACACUCUGUGAGGUGAGUGGGGCUGAGAGACUUCAGAGAAGUGUGACUGGCCCAAGGUCACCCAGCAGCUGCCUGUGGAGGAGCGGGUAAUCGAACUCAGUUCCCCAGAUUACGAGACUACCGCUUUUAACCACUACACCACACUGGCUCGGUGGUAGAUUUCAUACAAGCUGGAUUGUAUGAAAAUAAACCCUGAACAUAACCUCAUAUAGGCCCUGUUCUAAGAGCUGCAUUUUAUGGUACUCACUUUAGUGUUAUAAGCCCUAAAUAACUUAGGCCUCACAUAGCUGAAAGACCUCACAGGUGCAGAACCUCACACAGAGGCUCAGCAGAGGGGAAGCUCUUGGGAGUUUCACAGCCCUCAGAAUUGGGGGGGGGGGGUGGCCCAGAAGAUUGUAUUCUCUGUGGAAUCCCCUAAAUUGUGGGGAAAUCCCCAAAGUAGUUUACAAAAGGCAAGCCGGUAAAAGCAAGAAAAAUUUACAACCCUACUUUAAAACGUACAAAAGUUAAAAUACUAAACCAGAUUAAAAUUACCUCAACUUUCUAAGCAUCUGGGUAGGUUUGUUUUUAAACAGGGGCAGAAAAGAGAACUGUAAAUAUAUGUGUGUGUUCAUAUACAGAUGUGCACCUUUCUCAAACUCGAAUCCCCAGAUAUUGUUGCACUACAACUCCCAUCGUCCCUAGCUACUAGGACCAGUGGUCAGGGAUGAUGGGAGUUGUAGCUCAACAAUACCUGAAGGCUGACUGUGGGGCUGGUGUGUGUGUGUGUGUGUGUGUGUGUGUGUGUGUGUGUGUAAGGUGUCCCUUCCCCUUUGAACCACUGGGAGCCAGCUAGGAGCGCUCAUCACUCUCUCUCUCUCUCUCUCUCUCUCUCUCUCUCUUUCCUAGCUGGCUCCCAGUGGCUCAAAGGGACAAGAACGCUGCUGGCAGAGUCAGGGGGCGGAGCCUCUAAGGGAGGCAGGAGCAGGCCAGUCGGGCACCUGGGACCAAGAGCGAGGCAGCCCGUGCCUGCUGCUGCAUUCCAUUUCGAGCCCUUUUGCUCGUGGCUUAUCGGACGUGAGGGCGCCUCCCCGCGCCUUCUUGUCAGUCGCUGGAGGAAGCAAAGGGAGCCCCCCCUCUAUUGCAUGCACCUCCUCUCGCUCCCUCCCUUCCGGGAGACGCUGUAGCUUCACACUCAUUCACCCAGCUCAUUCAAGAGGAGCCUUUCUGGUGCCAUUUCCUGCACGUGCACACCUUCUUGCAAGGUCCUGACACAAAUGGGGGGUGCUUUGCCGGUGCUUUGCCAAUCACUGUAGGCUUGGGAGUUGCGGGUGGGGGGCCUUCAGGGUGGUAUCCCCCUUAAGGAUGGUACCCGGGGCGAUUCCCCACCCCACUCCCCCUUGCGACGCCACUGACUUUGGAUAAGAUCAGGGCUGCUUCUCUUCUUUUGUCUAAGUGUGUGUUUUUCUUUUUUUAAUAUACCGUUUAUUAAAGGUUUUCUUGGUUUAACUUCAAACAGAUGCUAAAACAUCAUGUUGGGGGUGUGGCUGUUUUGCAUAUAGAAUGUCUCAAAAUUACAUGCAGACAAGUGCAUCUUGCCAGAAAUUCGCACCAAAAUGCUGAUAAAUUUCCAUAAGGAUUUUUUUAAAAAGAAAGAAAUGGAAACUGAUAUGGAAACUGAAUAUAAGAUUAGACAAAUGAGAAACUGAGAGAAACCAAAACUGACAUAUUUACCCCAUGCAUCAAAAUCAACAUAUUCUGCUCUACUUGAGUCUUUUGUGGUUGAUGUCUGGGCUGGGCUGAUAUGCAAACCCAGCUGUUGCAACCAAAAUAGUGUGGCCUUUAACCUUUAGAUGCAUGCUGCCCUGGGAUCCUUUGGGAGGACAGGAGGGCUACAAACUGAAUUAAUAAUAAAAUAAAUAAUAAGCAGAGAGACACAGUGAUAUAAGAAACUGCCUUAUAUCAUGUCAGGCCAACAGCCUGUCCGUAUUGUCUACACCAGGGAUGCCCAAACUUUUUUCAAAGAGGGCCAGAUUUGAUGAAGUGAACAUGCAUGAGGGCCGACCAAAGUUGUUGAGCUUUUUUUAGGAUUUAAGUUGUUGCAAUUUUAGCCCAGAGCUUUCUUUAGUAUUUAACCCCAAAAUUGUUUCUUUUUUUUUUUAGGAUUACAUUUGUGAAGCUUUUUUGGGAAUUUUGCCCAGGAAACAAACUUCCUUGGGGGCCAGAUUAAAUUGACUUUGGACAUGCCUCGUCUACACUGUCUGAGAGGCUCCCCAAGGUUUCAGGCAGGACAUUCCUUGUCCUACUUGGAGAUGUUGGGGAUUGAACUUGGAGCAUUCUGUCUGCCAAACAGAUGUUCUCUCCCACUGAACCACAGCCCUUCUUUCCCUGUAAGCUGCGGGCAGGAGGGGAGGAUUCCUUCCUUGAGAAAUACAUCAGCUGGGAGACAUCCUUCUGGCAAUAACCCAGUUUAGUAAGGUUUGAUGGCAUCUUUCCUUUACAGGCAAUUUCUACCUCAUAAUGGAUGAGUGUCGUAUCUCCCAAGAUCCAUUAACGGGUUUAUUUUAUUUCUUGUUUUUUCCUUUUCCUUUUUAAGAAAUAUAAAGUCAGUGAUCACGAGAUGUUGAGGCUGGCAAUGGAGAGGAGGGAGAGACAGCACCUGCCUGAUCAGAAAAUGUGUAAAAAGGGCUCUGACAGAAUGAAACAUGGGACUUCAUUGAAGUCUCACUUUCUUGAUGUGACUCAUCUAUUCUCCAUCCAUCGCACACAGGCACUUCCAGACGAAGCAAAAAUGCAUUUCGAAAGCUUUCACAAGGGCUCAAAAUAUCUUGCUGUGACUCAAAAUGUCAGCCAAAACACAUCCACCAGGACAGCAUAAAUGUAAAUAUGAAUAUCUAUAAUAGCAGGGAAGGCCCCCAGUUCAGUCCCUGGAAUCUCCAGAUAGGACUGGGAAAUGCUCCUUCCUGAACCCCAGGAGAGCGGCUGCCUGUUAGAACAGACCAGCCAGAGCUGCUGUUCUGGUGAGCUGCACUUCCCAUCCUCCCUGACCAAUGGCCAGGCUGGAUGGAGGGGGUGGAUGGGAGUUUGAAUCAAGCAACAUCUGCAGGGCGCCAUGUUGACUAACGGCCUGACACUGCCAAUGCUCAGCUACAUGGACUGGUGGUCUGGCUCAUUACAGGGCAGCUUCCAGGGAGCUCAGGGCAGCACAUCUGCUUUCUUCCCUCACUUAUUGUAUCCACAGAACACCCCUGUGAAGUUGGUUAGGUUGAGACAGAAGGACAGGCCCAAGGGCAGCCAGGGAGGUUCAUGCCCAAAUGGAGAGUUGGGUCGUAUCCUUCCUAGUCUCACACUGGCCUACCACAUCUCAGCAUCAUUGCUUCAUCCAUUGUUGAUAAAGGCAUGUUGCACCAAUCAGAGGGCUUCUUGUUGUGCAGAUGUUUAUGUCCCCCUACUCUGAAAAGCAGGGGUCACCAACCUGGUGCCCUCUAGAGAUCACUGGAAUGCAAUUCCCCAUCAUGCUAGUGGAGGCUGGUGGGAGUUGAAUUUAAGCGCCAAACGGAGGACAUAGAUGAUGCCUUCCUGGAACAGAUGGCCAAGCAUGCAAAAAGAAGGGAGAUAGUAGUAAUGGGGGACUUCAAUUACCCAGAUAUUUGUUGGAUGUCAAACUCAGCCAAGAGCAUAAGGUCAAACAGAUUCCUCACUGGCCUUGCAGACAACUUCAUUGUCCAGAAAGUGGGAGAAGCAACAAGAGGAACAGCCAUUUUAGAUCUGGUCCUAACCAAUGUUGAUGACCUGGUUAGUGGGGUAGAAGUGGAAGGAUCAUUAGGCGCGAGUGAUCAUGCUCUUCUGAAGUUUACUAUACAGCGGAAAGGAGCAGCCAAGCAUACUAGGACUCAAUUUCUUGACUUUAAGAAAGCUGACUUCAUAAAACUUAGGGAAGUGCUGGGUGAGAUCCCAUGGACAGUAAUACUAAAAGGAAAGGGAGUUCAUGAUGGCUGGGAGUUUGUUAAGAGGAGAUAGUAAAAGCACAACGUCAGGCAAUACCAAUGAGACGGAAACAUGGAAGGUGCCUAAAGAAGCCAGGGUGGCUAUCUAAAGAACUUUUAACUGAGUUAAGAUUAAAAAGGAUGUGUACAAAAAUGGAAAAGGGGGAAACCACCAAAGAGGAAUUCAAACAAAUAGCCAGCACGUGUAGACACAAAGUCAGAAAAGCUAAAGCACAGAAUGAACUCAGGCUUGCUAGAGAGGUUAAAAGCAACAAAAAAGGCUUUUAUGGGUAUGUUCGUAGCAAAAGGAAGAACAAAGAAACAGUGGGGUCACUCAGAGGAGAAGAUGGUGAAAUGCAAACAGGGGACACAGAAAGGGCUGAACUCCUCAAUGCCUUCUUUGCCUCAGUCUUCUCCGAUAAAGAAAACAAUGCCCGACCUCAAGAAUUUGGAGCAAAUGAUUCAGCAAAGGAAACACAGCCCAGAGUAACUAAGGAGAUAGUACAAGAAUACUUGGCUAGUUUAGAUGUAUUCAAGUCUCCAGGGCCAGAUCAACUGCAUCCAAGAGUAUUAAAAGAACUGGCAGAUGUGAUCUCAGAACCACUGGCAGUCAUCUUUGAGAAUUCCUGGAGAAUAGGCAAAGUCCCGGCAGACUGGAGGAGGGCAAAUGCUGUCCCUAUUUUCAAAAAGGGGAAAAGAGAGGACCCAAAUAAUUACCGCCCAGUCAGUCUGACAUCAAUACCAGGGAAGAUUCUGGAGCAGAUCAUUAAGCAAACAGUCUGUGAGCACCUAGAAAGGAAUGCUGUGAUCACCAAUAGUCAGCAUGGAUUUCUGAAAAAUAAGUCAUGUCAGACUAACCUGAUCUCGUUUUUUGACAGAAUUACAAGCCUGGUAGAUGAAGGGAACGCAGUGGAUGUAGCCUACCUUGAUUUCAGCAAGGCAUUUGACAAGGUGCCUCAUGAUAUUCUUGUAAAGAAGCUGGUAAAAUGUGGUCUUGACUAUGCUACCACUCAGUGGAUUUGUAACUGGCUGACUGACCGAACCCAAAGGGUGCUCAUCAAUGGUUCCUCUUCAACCUGGAGAAGAGUGACUAGUGGGGUGCCACAGGGUUCUAUCUUGGGCCCGGUCUUAUUCAACAUUUUUAUCAACGACUUGGAUGAUGGACUCAAGGGCAUCCUGAUCAAAUUUGCAGAUGACACCAAACUGGGAGCGGUGGCUAACACCCCAGAGGACAGGAUCACACUUCAAAAUGACCUUGACAGAUUAGAGAACUGGGCCAAAACAAACAAGAUAAAUUUUAACAGGGAGAAAUGUAAAGUACUGCACUUGGGCAAAAAAAAUGAGAGGCACAAAUACAAGAUGGGUGAGACCUGGCUUGAGAGCAGUACAUGUGAAAAGGAUCUAGGAGUCUUGGUUGACCACAAACUUGACAUGAGCCAACAGUGUGACGCGGCAGCUAAAAAGCCAAUGCAAUUCUGGGCUGCAUCAAUAGGAGUAUAGCAUCUAGAUCAAGGGAAGUAAUAGUGCCACUGUAUUCUGCUCUGGUCAGACCUCACCUGGAGUACUGUGUCCAGUUCUGGGCACCACAGUUCAAGAAGGACACUGACAAACUGGAACGUGUCCAGAGGAGGGCAACCAAAAUGGUCAAAGGCCUGGAAACGAUGCCUUAUGAGGAACGGCUAAGAGAGCUGGGCAUGUUUAGCCUGGAGAAGAGGAGGUUAAGGGGUGAUAUGAUAGCCAUGUUCAAAUAUAUAAAAGGAUGUCACAUAGAGGAGGGAGAAAGGUUGUUUUCUGCUGCUCCAGAGAAGCGGACACGGAGCAAUGGAUCCAAACUACAAGAAAGAAGAUUCCACCUAAACAUUAGGAAGAACUUCCUGACAGUAAGAGCUGUUCGACAGUGGAAUUUGCUGCCAAGGAGUGUGGUGGAGUCUCCUUCUUUGGAGGUCUUUAAGCAGAGGCUUGACCACCAUAUGUCAGGAGUUCUCUGAUGGUGUUUCCUGCUUGGCAGGGGGUUGGACUCGAUGGCCCUUGUGGUCUCUUCCAACUCUAUGAUUCUAUGAUUCUAUGAUUUAAGAUGGUUCCCCUGCACGGGGUGCCGAGCCGAGGGGGUGCAAAACAACAACAACAACCUAUGACAUCCUUGCUCAGGGUGUCAUAUUACCAAACCCGACCCCUGAGGAAAGGGAAGGUACCAAAAUAAUAGCAAAUUAACAUUCAGAUAGACAUUUUCUUAAACCCUCUGCUUCCCCCCCCCCCCAAGGCAAAAUAUGUGAAACCAUUCAGGAAGAUUAAGGAAGUGCAAAAUUAUUAAUUAUUUGAUAGCUGUGUUUCUAAUUAUUCUAAGCUGUGUUUUGUUGUUAUUGUUGUUUUGAGAUUCCUUGGUGUGGGAUGUAAUCCACUGGGAGCAGUCAAAUAUAACAUUCCUUGUUUUGCUAGAGUGGACAUGCAAGGAAAUGUUUGGUCCAGCCAGACGAAACUUCCUGUUCCUCCUGGGCUGGAGCAUCCUUCCUUUCAUGUGACUAGUAGGUGGGCGUGACCUUUCCAGACCUGGUAAAAGGCCAAGUCAUGCAGCCACCUCUCUCUCUCUUCGAUCUUCUUUUUCAUCCUGCGAAUUUCCUGAUUCACCUGAACUUUCCCCCAGGUUAUCUCCCAUAUGGGGUAAACCUGUUUGUACAUGUUUGUAACUUUAAGCCUAAAGCCUUCCUUCAGGGAUCACAUUGUGCUCUGCCUGAUCGUGAGUAAAACUACUUUUUGUUACUUAUGAAUAAGACUGUGGUGUCUUUAUUCUUUUAGGAGGCAUCAAAGGGGUCUUACCAGGAAUAAUAGAACAUAUCCCAGUUGGGCAAACCAGAUUGAAUUGUUUAUUGUCUUAAGAGGCUCACAUGCAUCUGCAGCCAGUUAUUUGCUGCGUAAGAAGGGGAAUGCACUCUGCUCAGUGAAGAAACUUGCUAGCGCAAGUUAGGAAGGAUAUUAAUAAUCAAUAUAUCGUCUCCUGUUCCCACACUUAGUAAUUCACCUUGCUGGUGUGGGGAGAGGACACACCCCUACUCUUGGAUAUUUUCAUUUCUUUAAGAAAAUGUUAAUGGAACAUUCUUUCUAAGAAUUCACUGUAUCAUCACCAAAACUGCAAGUCCCAGGAUUCUUUUAGGGAAAGACAUGACAGAUACCUCAGCAGAAACUAAUCUAAAUGUUGUAGCAUUGCUGUGCAUUGAUUAACAUUCUGGCUUUAUUCUGGACUGCAACAUCAUGUCAUAUCCCAUCAGUCAACACAUCUCUUACUGCAAGCUGCAACUCAAUUUUCCUGAAAAGAGAUUCCAGUUAAUGGUUAGAACACCACUAAAUGUCUCCCCCCCCCCCCCACAAAUACAUUAUCUAUUUGUAUCGUCUGGAUCCAUUCAAGUCAGCAAGUUAUCAUCUCACUGCCAUGAGUUGACUUUCUCACAUCCGGUCUGAAAACACAAUGCCCUUCAGUCCGAAUCAAAACUUUGCAUUGAUUCUACAAAUGUCAAAAUCUUUAUAAGGAAACCUUUAAUACAUAUAUUACUUAUUUAGAUUUGAGCACCCUUCCUAUCCCAAGGUUCAUUAAAAGUCAUAAAGUAAUACACUGCAAUGUUUUUGAAUAAUUCAUCUGAAUUAAAAAUCAGCCAAGUCCCUUUCAUAGAAAUUCUCAACGUGCCCGUACAAAUUUGAAUAUUUGCCAAAGGAUUGUCAUGUCAUUUUUAAAAUAAUAAUUUUGAGAAGCCCUGUUUGCUUUUGAUCUAGCAUUAGAUUGUUGGGGUGGGUUGGCAAGGGCAGGAAAGCUUGUCAAAUUCUCCUGCAAGCUGAAAAUUGGUUUCCAAAACAGGUAAGAAUGGUUCAGAUGUUAAAAACCCCUAAUGAAAUAUUGUGCCUUUAUUGUAAGCAUCAUUUUGCCCAAAGAGAAGUCAUGAUAAUACAAGGUGGGGGAGGAGCUCACUGUUAGUUAAUUUGGUCUGUUUAAAAGUACAGGUAUAAUAAAAAGGAUUCCUCGCUUAGGAUCUUAUCAUUAUUACUAUUAUGUUUUAUUAUUAGUAUUUUAUUAUCUCUGCCAAGUUUUAAGUACUGAGAUUAUUAACUUAUCUGCAUCUGGUUACUAUUAUCUUUUUCCCUGUCCUGACCAUCCCCCGAGGUUAUAUUUAUAUUCAUAAUCUUUCAAUUUGGCUGGUCUAUUUACUUAACCGACCUGGAACAACUUACCAGAGAAAAGGCCGCUGCCCAUGGGACAGAGGGACAUUGAUGAAUGAUAAUCCAGCUUUUACCUAGGGUUUUAAUAGGCCAUAAGAUUAUACGGUAACUAUAUUUGUAAUGUAUUUUUGUCGGUGUUUGUCCUUUGAUGCUAUGGCUUGUUGGCUACACAAAUAAAGUCCUUGUUGUUGUUGUUGAGCAAGUACUCUUGGGUGAGAGAGCCCCAGCAGAGAUUUAAAAUCACAAAACAUACAGCAAAACAAAGUUUGGAAAUAUUGGCUGUUAGACCUUUAGAAUAUCCCCUUUUAAGCUGCUCCCAAAGUGAAAAGCAUGCUAGACUGAGAGUCCGGAGCAUUGCUGGCAAGAUAUGUAAAAGAAACGGAUAAAAAUACUGCAAAAAACCUCUCUCUCUCCCCCAGUGGCAUUGCAAGGGGGGGUAGUGCGCCCCAGGUGCCAUGUCUGGAGGGGUGACAAGAAGGCACCCCAUGGGGUGUUCACCCCGCCACCCCCAGGCACGGCGGCACAAGCAACCAUCACACCACCGCAGUCGCAUGUGAAGGAUCCUCUGUUCGUGGCUGCUGCUACGUAUAAUGCAUGCAUGGUGUUGCACGCAUGCACUGUACGUAGCGAUGCCGCACAUGCAGCCUAUGUAGCAACGCCAUGCAUGCGUCGUACGUAGUGGCGCAACAUGUGUGCAGCCUGCAGUUUGCCCCGCCCCGGGUGUCAGUUAGCCUUCGCCCCUGUGCGCUCUCUCUCUCUCUCUCUCUCUCUCUCUCUCUCUCAUCUCCAUCCUUCAUUCAUAAAGGAAACUAUUUAUACUCAAAACUCCAGUCAUUAGUUACCUGUAGUAAAAAUGGAAGGAUAGCAUUCUCUCCCCACAGCUAGUUCUCACAUUCACAAAUAUCAUUUAUGGAUAAGCUUAUCAUCAACGUCCCGAAUCACAGAGAUGAUUUUUCCUUUCCCUCCAAAGAGUGUAUAGUCCACCUUCCCCUUCCCCUGGGCUGCAAAGCAUGGGCACAAUGUGGGGGAGGAAUUUUAUAUGAGCGGGCACAUUUCGUCCACAUUUUUGCAGUGCACUGACCCAAUCCUAUGUUAGAAUCAUAGAAUCAUAGAGUUGGAAGAGACCACAAGGGCCAUCGAGUCCAACCCCCUGCCAAGCAGGAAACACCAUCAGAGCACUCCUGACAUAUGGUUGUCAAGCCUCUGCUUAAAGAUCUCCAAAGAAGGAGACUCCACCACACUCCUUGGCAGCAAAUUCCACUGUCGAACAGCUCUUACUGUCAGGAAUUUCUUCCUAAUGUUUAGGUGGAAUCUUCUUUCUUGUAGUUUGGAUCCAUUGCUUCGUGUCCGCUUCUCUGGAGCAGCAGAAAACAACCUUUCUCCCUCCUCUAUGUGACAUCCUUUUAUAUAUUUGAACAUGGCUAUCAUAUCACCCCUUAACCUCCUCUUCUCCAGGCUAAACAUGCCCAGCUCCCUUAGCCGUUCCUCAUAAGGCAUCGUUUCCAGGCCUUUGACCAUUUUGGUUGCCCUCCUCUGGACCCGUUCCAGUUUGUCAGUGUCCUUCUUGAACUGUGGUGCCCAGAACUGGACACAGUACUCCAGGUGAGUUGGUCAGAAGUAAAGAAGGAUUUGGAAAUAUGGUCAAAAUUGAAGUUAUCAUUGUUGGGCCGAAUUGCUGCGAUAAAGAUGAAUGUAUUGCCUAGAAUGUUGUUUUUGUUUCAAACAUUGCAAAUUGUGGACAAAAUGGACUGUUUCAAGAGGUGGCAAAGAGAUAUUUCUAAAUUUAUCUGGCAGGGCAAAAAGCCUAGAAUAAAAUUUAAAAUAUUAACAGAUGCAAAGGAAAGAGGUGGAUUUGCCCUGCCAGAUCUUAAACUUUAUUAUGAAUCAGCCGCAUUUUGCUGGUUGAAAGACUGGCUACUUCUUGAAAAUACGGACAUUUUGGACCUAGAAGGUUUUGAUAAUGUGUUUGGAUGGCAUGCAUAUUUAUGGUACGACAAGGUUAAAGCGCAUAAGGCCUUUAAGAACCAUAUUGUCAGGAAAGCAUUGUUUAAUGUUUGGGUGAG
rnacentral:lncRNA from 1 species